rnacentral:lncRNA from 1 species
UCUUCUGCAUUCCUCGUUAAUGUUAUUGCACGCAUGCUGAAUUACAUCAGUCACCAUAUUUCAUCAUGCAUUUGAAAUUCUUCAUAUAUUAUGUCAAAUGCGUGUAUGAAUUACAAGAUAUAGGGGGAGAUCUCCAUGAUUCAACUCUUCAAGUGUGCAUUGCUUCAAAAGCAAAUUCCUCACUAUGCACAUCUUCAGGGGGAGUUCUUCUAUAUCUUGCAAUCAAAUUCCUCAAUAUCAGUAUUUACACUUCAUAUGUUUAUUCCCGUUGAAAACUUAACCUAUAUUGUCAUCAAUCACCAAAAAGGGGGAGAUUGUAAGUGCAUCUAGUGCCCCUUAGUGAUUUUGGUGUAUUGAAGACUUAUAGGUUAAGGGACUAAUUUGUUUAUGAGUGUACACAGGUCAUAAGUCUAUGAGGAGUUUGAUAUUUACAGAGAAAGUCGACCCCUAAAAAUGAAGUUCUUCGACUGAAGACUUUGGAUUUCUGAAGACUUUCUGAAGACUUUGAAAGUGAAGAAAUUGGUGUGACCUUGAAGACUUGGUAUUCAUUUGAGGAACAUGAAGUGUGAAGACUUUUGUUUUCAUAGUUUCAUUUUCUCUUUCUUGAGUCAUAGGAAACACCGUACUGUUAAAGGGGGUCGAGGAAAUACUAAGGAAAAAUUUCCAUGUGAUGCUCAACUCAAAAUCCUACACCUACCAAUCCCUUCGAGUGAAGCCAUUGGAAAUCUCAUACAGUUCAGUCAUAUUCUUCAGUGACAUAGACGAAGUUCUUCUGAUCUCUGAGGAAUUUGUUCUGACUGAGGAGUUAGGAAUUCGCUAGUGCGGAUUGCCUACACAGUGAGGAACAUGAUAGCCCUGAGGAAUUUGAACCUCAAAUUUCCGACAGUUGCUGUGCUAUGCGCCAGCUGUCCCAAAAUAUCUACCCACCUAACGGUCAUAUCAUUGAAGGGCAUUUAUGUCUUAUCAUGCGGGCUGCUCCCUAGGCUAUAAAUAGCUGCCCCCUACAACCACUAGCUGGUUGGCUGCUCCGAGAGAAACUGACACUUGUCAUUUGAGAGCAUCCCAUCCUCCGAGGACUUUGAGCAAAAAUCAUCAAGUGAGGAAAAACCCCAAACCCAGACACCUACAAACCCAAAGUGACUGAGCAUCACUGAAGAGAUUGAUCCUGCAUGGAUCCAACGCUUGUUACCUUUGAAGAUUGUGCUUCUUCCAGACGGUUAGGCGUCAUGGUCUAGAGCAUCCAAGAGGAAAUUGUGGAUCGCCGAGUGACCGAGUUUGUGAAGGUUCGGAAGUCACCUGAAGACUUAUCACGAGUGAUUGGACGAGGUCUGUGUGACCUUAGUUCAAGGAGAAUACGGUGAGGACUGUGUGUCCGGGACUGGGUGUCCUCAGGUUUAAAUACCUAGCCGCUCCAACCAGACGUACAACUGAGACAUCAGUUGGAACUGGUCUACCAAAUCAUUGUCUUCACCAAGCCAACUGGUUCUAUUUCCUCAACUCUUUCAUUUCCUCAUUCCUGUGUUUUGCAAUUGUUCAUAUCUGUGUUUGAAGACUUUGACUGAAGACUUUCUCAAUUUCCUUAGUUCAAUUUCCUCAGUCUGUUUGUCUUCAUCCUGUGUUAUCCUGUGUUUACGCUUUCUGUACUCUGUGCUUGUUUUCAUUUCAUCAUGAUGACUAUGCUUGUGUUCUGCUAUGCAUACUUUUGAGUACUUAUUCCGCUGCAAGUAGUUCUUCGCUAAGGAAUUUCCUCACCCACAAAUUCCUCAGUGAAGAAUUUAUAAAAAUCGCCUAUUCACCCCCCUCUAGUCGAUAUAACGCACUUUCAUCCACAAUUAGACUCAUGACCUUGAAUUUUUUAGGAAUAUCAAAGAUUUGCAACAAGUUGAUGGAAUGUCCCCUAAUCAUCUUGUGAUCUCCAGAUUUGGGUAACAGAGUAUGCCUUAAGAUGGUGUUGAUAGUGGGCAGACCACACAACAAAUAGUGCACAGAUCCAAGCUUGUGUCUCUCCAAAGCUUUAUCAGGGAUCUUUUUGUACAUAUUUGCCAUAGAGUUGUGGUCUUUCUUCUUCUUGGCAUACACAUCCAAAUCAUCCUCAUGUUCUUCUGGGGCUUUGAUCAACUUGGCCCAUUCUUCAAUAGUUGAUUGGUACCUUGUACCUUCAGACAUCCACACUAUCCUCCCAUCUGGAUUGAAAUGAGUAGUAGAGUAAAAUUGCAUUAUUAGCUCGUCAUUCCAUUUGAUGAGCUUUUGUCCAACAAACUUGUCAACUCCACAAACUUUCAAGAUGUCAUGUACUCCUGGGAAGUGAUCUUCAUUCUCUUUAAUGUAUUCCCAAUCAACCCAUCUCAUGUCACAGACAAUUGGCUUCUUGUCAAGCAGAAUGGUCUCAUAGAAGUCUUGUUGUUCUUUGCUGUGGAACCUAUAGUCCACACCAGUUCUCCUUCUCACAGCAUAAGGAUCAAACUGUCUCCAAAGUCUCAAUCCUGCAUAUUUCCUGAUGUGCAUGUCCUCAGCCACUGGAUGAGUGUCAUUGUGGUCUAGAAUCUUGGGUUUCAGUUUUCUCAAUACAUGGGCUUCAUCAUCCUCUUCUUCAACUUCAGGCACUAGGGCCUUGUUCUUCUCUUCAGUAGGAAUGUUUCUGGUGCUUCUCUUGGGCUUAGAGGGUUUCUGAGUUUGAGUUGUUGCUUUGGGAGCAGCCCCUGACUUGAUAGCAUCUCCCAUAAGCUUCUGAGAUUUGGGUGCUGGUGCAGCAUCCUCUUCCUCUUCCUCUUCUUAUGAAUCUCUUACCAUAGUUGAUUUUCCAAGAACUUUUGCAGAUGUGGUUCUUGCCCUCUUCUUCUUCUUGCCAUCUCCAACUGCCUCACCAUCAUCUGAUUCUAUUGUGAAUUUCAUGGUUUCUCCUGUUGGAACUUUCCUCGGCUUUGGCAUUGGGACUCUCUUUGCUGGUGCCUUCUUAUGCAACCCUGGCUUAGUUGCAGCAGUUGUGCCAUACUCUUUCUUCCUUGAGGUGGCCUCAUCCUCAACAGCCACAUAAUCCUCAUCCUCAGAGUCUGAGGUUCUCUUCUUCCUUGAUCUGGUGGCUGCCUUGGGCAAGUUACUUGGAGUGCUCCUGCUACCUUUAUCAUAGCUGCUUGAGGGACUAGUGCCCUCACUCAAUUUCACUUGCUCUUCAGAUCUGUUUUGGCUAUCACUCUGAUCAGACAUCUUGGCAAUCACACUGACAGCAAACCCUGUGAAUAGAUGUAGAUGAGGUAGAGUAGAUGAGCAUCACAAAGUGCAGAGUUUUUGCAAAACAGAUGACUCAAAAACUUAGUUUUAGUUCUCCACAGAAAGAAUUUCGGAGCUACCGAUUUGUUAAACUCGAUGAUACCGAAGCAACUUUUGGAACCUAAACUAGUGAACUCGGUCAGACCGAGUCACAGUUCGGUGGCACCGAGAUUGCUAGGGUUUCACAGAGAGUCGAACUCGGUCACACCGAUUUGCAAUUUUCGGUCAGACCGAAAAGCACAUGUGCAAUGGCCUAAGCCAAAUCGGUGAGACCGAUUUCUACAACUUGGUCGGUCUGAGAUGAGUUCGGCGGAGACCUAACCCUAAAUUUUCGAAUCAAACCUAACCUAAAGGAUGUUUUCUCUGGAUAGAUUGUUUUCAUACAUGGUAAAGAUCAUGGCAAAGCAAUGUGCUAGGAAUCAAAGUAAGGAAAUAGCACAAAGUAUCGAACCCAUACCCUAGUUUGGCGGGAGUUUGCUACGGCGGCAAUGGCGGAGCAGAAUUCCGUUGACGGCAACGGAAACCAGCAGCGGGAGGUCGCUGGCAGCGAGGAGAUGAUCCGGAGACCCGAGGAGGCAGAGCACGGAUACGCGUGGGCUGAGGGCUUUUGAAGAAAUUUCCAAAAUCUCACCCGUGGGUUUAUAUAUCCCGAACCUGUCGGUGUGACCGAGUGGAACAACUCGGUGGCACCGAGAUGCAGAAUCGCAAGCUGUUACUGCAACUCGGUGUGACCGAAAAGUUCAAAUCGGUUGCACCGAGAUGGAAAACCUUGAUCAACUUAGUGAACUCGGUGUGACCGAAGUGGAUGAUUUGGUCAUACCGAAAUGCACAAAGAGGUUUUGGAAGUUUAAGUCUAUGACGAAUCGGGGACUCCGAGUGCUCCUCACACAGAGUGGUUCGAAUCUGACUUGAUCAAACUAUGUGAUGUAGCAUGAAUAGAGUUUGAGACGAGAAAAGCAUAGAUAGCUAGAGGGUGUUCUUAGGCAUUCUUGUCCAUCCAUUUGGCAAAAGGGAAAAAUCCAAACAAUCAAAGCAACAAAUGGAUGUCCUUAAAUGAGUAAAAUAUGCAAUCAACAUGCUCACACAAUAAAAUGGCAAAUGAAAUAUGUGACAAAGCAUGCACAAACACUCUAGCAUCUAUCAAGCAAUUGGCGAUGACUAGGUCAUCUAUAUAUGAGUAUAUUGACUUAGGAGUCAAAUGAGAACAUUUGAUCAUAGGUCAUACUCAUCAUUUAAGCAUAAGUGCAAUAUGUGGAAGUUGUUUGCACAUGUCCUUGCCAAAGGAUAUGAGUGAAGUAUGGUGGCGGAGUCACCCUCAAGAACUCUCUAGUUCCUUUUCUUCGGGAUCCACAUCAUCUUGGUGGGAAUCCUUGGAGUUGUAGUCAUACUUGAUGAAGUAGAACUUGAUGUAGUCUUGGGAACCCACUUGACCAAGGCCUUGGGAGCUUCUUCAAAUGCAUCAAUCUCCUCUUGAAGCUUGUCCUUGCCUUUUUUCUUGUGGUCUUGUGGUGGAAGAACAUCUUGAGCUUGUGUUCCUUGGAAAGAAGUAGGAUCAUACUUCUCUUGUUGAGGAACAAACUUCGUCUUGGGGUAUUGAUCUUCUUCCCACUCAAAUCCAUUGGCAUUGAACUUUCGUUCAAAACCAACACCUUGAUUCUUCCGGUGCCUUCCUUGCUUGCGUACAAUUUCCUCAAAUUGCUUACUUCUGGCAAGGCUCUUGUAAACACUUUUCUCUAUAAUUCCCUUCAAUAAGCUAUUUUCUUGCUCAAGUGUAACUUGGCUAAGAGAAUCAUUAGUGGAAUCAAGAGAACUACUAGAAGCAACAACAUUGGAUUUAGCAUGAUUAUUGUUACUACUAGAAGAAGAAUCUUUCUUACUCUUGUUGCUAGAUUUUACUUGUGGCAUGUAAGUAGACAAGAGUAAAUGCUUGGCAAUGUAAGAAGAACUUUUCUUGCGAAGAUCAUCAUUGAUUGCUUUUAAGAACCCAUGCUCUUGCUCAAGGUUGAGCAUUUCAAAGCGUAGCUUUUCAUGAGUCUUUAAAAGUUCUCGAUGAUCUUCCAAGGUAGUUUCAUGAGCUAACUUAAGAGUGUUUAGUUCUUUAGUUAGACGCUCAAUCUCCUUCUUAUCAUCAUCAUUCAUUUUAUCUUGAUUAUCAUGAUUAAUAGCAAGUUCAUCAUAGUUUUCAUCAUUAGAGUUGUCAACAAGUAAAUCAUCAUCACCUAGCAAAUCAUCUUCAUCACUAUUGAAAUCAACAUACUCGGGGUGUGAUACCUUUGGGCCUUUAGCCAUGAAGCAUCUUCCAAUUCCUUCAUCUGGUGAGUCAGAUAUGUCGUAGGAGUUGGUUGACACAAGUGCUAGACCGGCAACACCUUCAUCUUGAGUAUAUUCGGAGUCGGAGUGAUAACUUCUUUCGGAGUGAUGGUCGAAGUCGGAGCCGGAUGCCCAUUCACCAACAUGAGCUUGAUGUCUUCUUUUUGUGUAGCUCUUUGAUGAUUUGUCCUUCCUUUCCGAAUCCUUGCUUCUCCGAGAGGUUCUUCGUUCAUAACGAUCACCUCUACUCCUUCUCUCUCUUGGUGGUGAUUCUUCUCUUCUACUUCUUCUUUUGGGUGAAUCUUCUCUUCUUUUGUAGGGAGUCGUACACUCAUUGGAGUAGUCUCCGGGUCUUCCACAAUUGUAGCAAUUACGUUCUCGACUCGAAGAUCUCUCGUCAUUGUAGGACCUUGACUUGGAACUUCUUUCCUUGCUUCUACUUUUGUAGAACUUGUUGAAAUUUUUCACCAUUAGGCUCAAUUCUUCAUUGAAGGUUUGUUUCUCACUUGAAGAUGUGGGAGCAUCACAUGAGGCUUUGUAAGCACCACUUGACUUGUUGUGGAGCUCUUCCUUAUCCUUAAGUGACAUCUCAUGAGCAACAAUUCUUCCAAUGACUUCCGUCGGCUUGAGAUCUUUGUAAUUGGGCAUCAUUUGGAUCAAUGUGCACACGUAUCAUAUUUUCCAUCUAAGGCUCUUAGGAUCUUCUUGAUGAUGAAUCUAUCGGUCAUCUCUUCACUUCCUAAGCCGGCAAUCUCAUUUGUGAUGAGAGCAAGCCUAGAGUACAUUUCAGCGACACCUUCACCAUCCUUGAUUUUGAACUUGUCAAGUUGACUUUGAAGCACAUCCAAUUUGGAUUCCUUGACGGAGUCGGUACCCUCGUGCAUAUCAAUCAAAGCAUCCCAAAUUUCCUUUGCAUUCUCAAAACGGCUGAUUUUGUUGAAUUCUUUGGGGCACAAUCUGUUGAAGAGAAUAUCACAAGCUUGAGCAUUGUAUUGCAGUAUCUUCAACUCUUCCGCGGUAGCUUCACGGUUCGGUUCUCUCCCAUCAAAGAAUUCACCUUGCAAGCCAAUACACACAAUAGCCCAAACGGCGGGGUUAUGUCCAAGAAUAUGCAUUUUCAUCUUAUGCUUCCAACUAGCAAAAUUAGUACCAUCAAAGUAAGGACCUCUACGGUGGUAAUUUUCCUCGCUAGACGCCAUACUCUCCUAGGUUGUGAAACCAAGGCUAUGAUCACAAAAAGCUAUGGAAAUCAAGGCAAAUGGGGACCAAAGCUCUGAUACCACUUGUAGGAUCGAAAGUAUGUCUAGAGGGGGGUGAUUAGACUACUUGACCAAAUAAAAAUCUAGCCUUUUCCCAAUUUUAAGUCUUGGCAGAUUUUAGAAACUUAGCACUAGUCAAGCAAUCAACCUACACAUGCAAGUCUAAGAGUAUAGCAGCGGAAUGUAAAACAUUGCACAUGAAGGUAAAGGGAGGAGUUUGGAGGAAGCAAACGCAAUGUAAACACGGAGAUUUUUGGCGUGUGCCGGAUGUGGGGUUCCGGCAAACCCUUAAGGUUCGAACACUGGGGUGCGCACGAAGUCUCUCCCUCCUACCGAUCUAUGCUCUAGCUCGCUAAGAUCUUGCGGACAAACUCGACGAACUUGCAACACAGAAAGACACGGGGUUUAUACUGGUUCGGGCCACCGUUGUGGUGUAAUACCCUACUCCAGUGUGGUGGUGGUGGAUUGCCUCUUGGGAUGAUGAUGAACAGUACAAGGGAAGAACAGCCUCCUGAGGUUGAGGUGUUCUUGUGCUUGUGUAGUUGAGGAUGAUCUAAACUCGUUCGGGAUCAGUUGCCUCCUACUGUGGUGGCUAGUCCUAUUUAUAGAGGCCCUGGUCCUCUUCCCAAAUAUCAAGCGGGAAGGGAGCCAACAACGGCGGGCAAAUUUGAAGGGGGACAGCUAGUACAAGCUAUCCUGACGAAAGCGGUCUUCGCCUGCUAAAAGCUCUGGGGUGACGCCGUCUUGGGCUCCACGAUGACCUCCGCCUUGCCGUCCUCCUGGUCUUGGUCUCGUUGCACCAACAUGGCAACCUUUGCCUGAUGCCUCGGUACUCUUCGCCUGCGCUGGUCUCCUUAGCACCAAAGAGGAAAUGAGGACGCUGCGCGCACCGGCGCCCGCCUGGCACCCGCCUGGUACCGUUCGUCAUGGCUCAUGUCACGAGAGCCUCGUGAGGUUUGCCUCGCCUUGAUAUCUCCGCUCCUCGUGAGCCUGCUUGGCUAGGCCACUCCAGAGGAGGUCUUGCGUUGUCCUCCUCGCAAGGCUUGGACCCUCGCGAGGGUCUUGGGUGCCUUGUUGACGAAGAUGGGCCGUACGGCCUGCUGCUUAGCCAUGCUGUGGGCCGCAGGCAGGCAAGUCUGGGGACCCCCGUUCCCAGAACGCCGACAGUAGCCCCCGGGCCCAAGGUGCACUUGGGCAUGGCUUCGCGGCGAAGCCAAGGGUCAAGUUCGGAGCACCGCGGGCCCCAAAAGCCUGCGGCCUCGGUCGACGCAUGGCGGUUGAUUGGACGUGGGCAUCUCCGCUUCCCCACACUACCUCAGCAACUGCACGACUUGACAAGUCCCCGCGACAUGCAAGGAAAACCAUCAUUACCUGCGAUCGUGGGAGACGCCGGUUGGCCUUCUCUUGCUAUAAAUGGGGAGGGGGCAGAGCCCGCGUUGCCCAUCUCUUCCUCGCUUGCUUGCUUCUCUGCUCCAUUGCUUGCAGUGCCAUCGAUGGCGCCACGAAAGAAGUUCUCUGCCGCCGAGAAAGGAAAGGCCCUCGCGAGGGCCCCGGCUCCCCGGCGCCCAAGCGCGGUCGCGGCCGUCUGCGCAAGCACGCCGCGACCCCCGCCAUGGCCCACCGUCGAGGUGGCGCCGCGGUACGCGGAGGGGAUCAUCCCAUCCAUGGUGGUUCAGCCGAUGAGGGGAGGCACGCGAUGGUGGCGCGGCCUUCCCGCCCACGCUUCCAUUCGGCUGAGGUGUCGCCGGAGUUUGUUGUCUGGUCGGAGAGUCCGGCCGGCAACUGGCUCCAACUUCUGCGCUUCUUCGCCAGCGAACUGCCGGCCUCUGGUCCGGGCGGGCUCUGGCUGCAGGCGGACGGCUGCUGCAGCAGGGCCUCUUGGGUUGCGGUCGAGACUUCCGCCGCGGGCAACAUAGCCCUGGCCCGCGGCUAGCAGACGUUCGCCCGCGCGCGCGGCCUGGGCAGGCGGUGCACCCUCCACUUCAGGUACGAUGGUGAAUCGACCCUCUAUGUGAGGGUGUUCGGGGAAGAUGGUCGCCGCGCCGGGUGCUGCCCCGAGAUGAACGACGGUGAGGAGGUGCUCGGCCUCGGUGAUGGUCGCGAUGAGGACGAGGGCGAGCCUGCCCUCGGCGGUGACCGCGUCUCCUCCAGCUACGGCGGCUCUUCCUCCGAUGACAGCUCCAGCAGCGGUGGCUACGACCAGCCGCCGCGCCCGCUUCGAAGGAGGCAGCGGGUCAUCUCGUCGUCGCGCCUCCGUGAAGCGCGAGGAGGGGUCUGGCUAGGCUCGGGGCGUUGCCAAGGGCCUGCCUCCACGGAUUGCUGCAACGCUGCUUUGCUUAGCUUUUUCUUUCUUUCCUGCAUCAUAAAAUGAAACCAGUAUGGGCCCAGAGGGGCGUGUAUCGAACUGUGGUUCUUUGGUUAAUGCAUUGUGCGAGUCGUUCCCAUGCCGUGUUGUUAUUUUGCGCCAAAAAUAACUUAACCUGGUGUGUUGGGACGCCCUUUCCCUCACGUGGUGUCCGUGUUGCCCGGAAACUGCAAAAAAAUCAUUAGGGGGUGCACCAAAGGAUUUGCCAUCCACCCAAGCCUUGACUUGGCGCCUUGUAUCGCGGUACCCGAGGGGCACGGAUUUAGGAGAGAUGUGCCAGCUUCCAGGCUCGAACGAGGGUGGCUCGCGAGAAGGCAAAGAGAAGAGAAAUGCUCGCGAGGGCACCUGCCUAGCCCCCUCGCGAGGUAUGCGAGAGAGAGAACACGAGCGGAUUCGAGCCGGAAAAAUGCAGUGAAAGGCGAGGGAACCAAAUUAGCAAGGAAACCAAAGGCAAACUUUGAUUAAGGCAAAGCAAGCCAACUAUGGAAAGCAAAUGAAAAUCCGCGUCCGGCACCUAAUCUAGUCUUCAAGUCUUCUCACCAGCGUGGAGCUAAGUGUUGUCCACUAGGCGUGGGAGGGAGCCCCAGGGCCUGAGGCCGGCACUCCUGAGACUCUGGGGCAUGUACAGCCCCAACUCAUUAUUACGUGAGAGUGUCACAGGCGGCGAUUCUUCACAGGCACCGGGCCUUCUUCACAGGCUCUGGGCCUUGCUUCAUGGAUAGAACUUCCGGAGGUGCUGGAUGUUCCAUGCGUUCUGGAUGGGUGUCCCAUCCUGCGUCUGCAGGCGCGCUGCACCCGGCCUGGAGACAUGAACGACCCUGAACGGGCCCUCCCACAUGGGUGAAAGCUUGUGCAGCCCUUCCCUGGAGAGGACCCGCUUCAGGACGAGGUCACCCACCUCGAGCAUCCUGGAGCAGAUGUUGCGGUAGUGGUAUCGCCGCAGCGCCUGUUGGUACCUUGUCGCCCUCAAUGCAGCUUCGCGACGGCGCUCCUCCCCCAGCACGAGAUCCAUCCCCCGCGUGGCGUCCUGCUGCGUUUCGUCGAACGCCUGGACCCGUGCGGAGCGAUGCUUGACCUCGUGAGGAAGGACUGCCUUAGCUCCAUAGACGAGGAAGAAUGGAGUCUCGCCUGUUGGCUUGGUGGCGGUGGUGCGGAUGGACCACAGCACGAACUGGAGUUCAUCGUGCCAGCCCCUUCCGCAGGCCUCCAGCUUCUUCUCGAAGGUUCUGGUCUUGAGGCCCCUCAGGACCUCCGCGUUGGCGCGCUCGGCCUGGCCAUUGCUCCUGGGGUGUGCUACCGAAGCGUAGCAGAUCUGCAUUCCAAGGUUAGCACGGUAGGUUUUGAAAAGGUUGCUAGUAAACUGCGAGCCGUUAUCCAUGAUGAUGCGGUUGGGGACCCUGAAGCGGCUCACGAGGCCCUCGAUGAACUUGACAGCAGAGCCGGCUGGAAUGGUACGGAUGGCCUCUACUUCCGCCUACUUGGUAAACUUGUCAAUGGCGACGUAGAGAUAUCGGUAGCCCCCUGGCGCUCGAGGGAACGGGCCUAAGAUGUCCAGCCCCCAGACCGCAAACGGCCACGUGAGCGGGAUGGUUUGGAGGCCCUGUGCAGGCUGAUGGAUCUGCUUGGCGUGGAAUUGGCAAGCUUCACAAGACUUCACCAGCUCGGCCGCGUCGUUGAGUGCUGUAGGCCAAUAGAACCCACUGCGGAACACCUUGCCUACAAGGGUCCGUGACGACGAGUGGUGUCCGCAGUCACCGCCGUGUAUGUCAAUCAGCAACUCCCUUCCUUGAUCGCUGGAGAUGCAGUGCAGCGCGACAUCGUUCGGUCGCUUCCUGUAUAACUCGUCGUCUUGGAUACAGUAUGCCGUGGCUUGCCGGGCCACACGCUCCGCGUCCUCUUCCUUCUCCGGCAGCGUCCUGUGCAUCAGGUACCCUUUGAAUUCCUUGGUCCAGCACUCCUCCUGAGGCUCGAGCGCCAAGAGCAGCCGAGCUCCUGUGGUCGGUCCGCAGGCCGGGGCUCCCGUGGCCGGGGGCUGUGGGAGCUCCUCCCGAGGCUGAGUCAUGCUUGAAAGAGGUGGCGUAGCUGAUGGCUUGAAGAGCCGCUCUUCAAAGACGCCGGGCUCUUGUGGUUGCCGCUUGGAUGCUCUCCUGGCGAUGUCGUCGGCUUCCUUGUUGGUGCCCCGAGGCACGUGCUGCAGCUCCAGGCCCGAGAACUGCUUUUCCAUCUUGCGCACCUCCGCGAGGUAGGCCUCCAUGUGCUCGUCCUUUGGCUCGUAUACCGUGUUGGAGAAGUUGACGAGGAGUUGCGAGUCGCCUCUGACGGUGAGGCGCUUCACCCCUAGAGCCGCCGCAGCCUUCAGGCCAGCUAUGAGGCCUUCGUAUUCUGCGAUAUUGUUGGAGACCUUCUCGCCGUGCUGGAAGCAGAGUUGCACGGCGUAGUAAAGCUUGUCCUGAGUGGGCGAGAUGAGCACUGCUCCAGCCCCCGCGCCCUGGUGCGCGAAGGCGCCAUCGAAAUACAUGACCCAGCUGUCUGCUGCCUCACUUCUUGGGGAGGUGGACCGGUCUUCUCCUUCCUCAAGAGUCGGGGCAUCUGUCCAUUCUGCCACAAAAUCGGCGAGCGCGGCCCCCUUGAUGACCCUGGUAGUGCUGAACUCCAGCUGGAAUGCUUGCAGCUCGAUGUUCCAUUCAGCGACCCUUCCGGCUGAGUUAGGGCUCCUGAGUACCCUCUCCAAUGGGUAAGCUGAGACGACCUUGACGGGGUGGCCCUGGAAGUAGUGCCGCAGCUUGUGCGAGGCCACCAAGAGUGCGAGCAGGAGCUUUUGCGGCAUGGGGUAGCGCGCCCUUGCGUCCCGCAGUACGGUGCUGACGAAGUACACCGGGUGCUCGACGAGGGCUGGCACACUGACGAGGCUCGGGUCCUGCGGAGAUUGGGGUGUAUCCUGAGGUGGUGGGUUUCCUGAGACCUGACCGUCCUCAGGAGCUUCUGCGAUGUUGCCCUGCUGAGCUUGGUCUUCCGCCGCUGAUGGCCCUGCUGUGCCUUCCUGACCCGGCGCGGCACACCCUUGUCUUGGCGUUCCUCCCGAACCGCCACCAGCGCCGCGCUGGCGGAGUACAGGGUGGUAGCAAGGUAGAGUACCAGAGGCUCGAGAGGCCGCGGUGCCACCAUCACCGGGGAGCUGGUGAGAUACUUCUUGAGGUCUUGGAAGGCCCGAUCGGCCUCCGGGGUCCACUCGAACGGGCCCUUCUUCUUCAUGAGCUUAAAGAAGGGCAAGGCGCGCUCGCCUAGCUUGGAGAUGAAACGCCCUAGCGCAGUCACUCGCCCUGCUAGCUUCUGCAUCUCCUUGAGAGUCUAUGGCGGGCUCAUGUCUUCGAUGGCCUUGAUCUUCUCCGGGUUCGCCUCGAUCCCUCUGUGGGAUACGAGGAACCCCAGUAGCUUGCCAGAGGGGACACCAAACACGCACUUCUCCGGGUUAAGCCUCAAGUUCACUUGACGCAAGCUCUCGAAGGUCUCCUCCAAAUCCUGAAUCAAUGUCCUCGCUUCGCGAGAUUUGACUACUAUGUCAUCAACAUAGGCCUCUGUGUUUCUGCCGAGCUGCCGCCCCAAGGCGAUGUGCAUCAACCGCUGAAAGGUGGCACCCGUGUUGCACAGGCCGAAAGGCAUGCAGGUGUAAUAGUACACCCCGCAUGGUGUCAGGAAGGCUGUCUUCUCCACAUCCUCCACUGCCAUCUUGAUUUGGUGGUAUCCUGAGAAUGCAUCCAGGAAACAUAGCAAGUCGCACUCGGCGGUGGAGUCGACGAUUUGAUCGAUGCGUGGGAGUGGGAACGGAUCUUGGGGGCAAGCUUUGUUAAGGUUGGUGAAGUCGACGCACAUCCGUUCCUUCCCGCCUUUCUUCGGUACUACGACAGGGUUCGCCAGCCAUUCGGGGUAUCGAACCUCUUGGAUGGUACCUGCUGCCUCCAGCUUGCGCGUCUCUUGGACGAUGAAGGCCUGCUUCUCGGUGGACUACCGUCUUGCCCGCUGCUUCACGGGGCGUAUGUUGGGGCAUACCCUUAGAUGAUGAUGGAUCACCUCUCUCGGGACCCCUACCAGCUGAUUGGGCUCCCACGCGAAUAUCUCCUUGUUCGCGCGCAAGAACCUCACCAGAGCUUCUUCUUGCUCUGGGUCAAGGCCGGUUCCUAUGGUGAAAGUGGCUCCUGAAGACCGUCCUCGUUGACCGGCACCUGCUUGGUCUCCGCCUUGUCUUGGGUGAACAACUGCUUCUUCUUGGCGGGCGCGGUCUCCUUAGCCUCAGGCGUACCGGUGCUAGCUGGUUAUGCUACUGUCGCGAUCUUGAAGGCGAGCCUGAACACCGUCACGGCCUCCUUAGUGUCCCCCUUGAUGGUGAGGACACCCUUGCUCCCCGGCAUCUUCAUGAGGUUAUAGGCCGGGUGAGUCGCCGCCAUGAACUGAGCGAGAGCCGGGUACCCGAGGAUAGCAUUGUACGGGAGACCGAUGCGGGCGAUGUCGAAGUCCACCAGCUCAGUGCGGUAGUUGUCGCGUGUGCCGAAUGUGAUAGGGAGGCGGAUCUGCCCCAGAGAGUGGGCAGCUCCACCACCCACUCCCGAAAAGGGCUUGCUGAGGUUGAGCCGCUCGGGCGGCACGUGGAGAAGGCUGAAGGCUUCUACGGAGAGCAAGUUGAGGCCGGCACCGCCGUUGAUGAGGGUCUUGGUGACGGCCACAUUGCAGAUGGUAGGCGUGCAGAGCAUUGGGAGCAUGCCAGAGCCGGCGGUGGAGCCGGGGUGGUCUUCUGAAUCGAAGGUGAGGUCGGCCUCCGGCGCAGCCCAACCCGGCGGAGCCCCCGAGCGCUUGGAGGCUGCCCCAAUCUGACGGAAGAAAGGCUUGACGUGGCGAUCUGAAGGCGAUGCUUGAGAGCCACCCAGCAGUGCCGCGACCGCGUGGUGCGCCGGCACCGCGUAGCAUGCGGUGAAGAGGUCGCGGAGUUCCUCCCAGGACGCCACCGUGGACCCCGGGAGGUUGAGCAGCCAGGCGCGCGGCUCGCCGGUGAGGGCCAUGGGGAACCAGUUGGACAUGAUCUUGUCGUCGCCUCCGGUUUCAAGGACGGCCUCCUCGUAUGCCAGCAGGAACGACGCCAGAUCUGCCACGCCGUCGUAACACGGCGGCAUCUCCGGCAUGAACUUGGUUGGCCACUGCACUCGCCGUAGGGCGGGGGCCAGGGCUCGGUACCCAGACUCCCUGUUGCUGGUGUCGGCCUUGGAGGUGGAUGGCGGGGUACCGGUCAUGGGGGCGAAGAGCGGCGGCGAGGAGCGCGAGUUGGUGAAGAGGAGCUCCGGCGCACCCCUACCUGGCGCGCCAAAUGUCGGAUGUGGGGUUCCGGCAAACCCUUAAGGUUCAAACACUGGGGUGCGCGCGAAGUCUCUCCCUCCUACCGAUCUAUGCUCUAGCUCGCUAAGAUCUUGCGGACAAACUCGACGAACUUGCAACACAGAAAGACACGGGGUUUAUACUGGUUCGGGCCACCAUUGUGAUGUAAUACCCUACUCCAGUGUGGUGGUGGUGGAUUGCCUCUUGGGCUGAUGAUGAACAGUACAAGGGAAGAACAGCCUCCUGAGGUUGAGGUGUUCUUGUGCUUGUGUAGUUGAGGAUGAUCUGAACUCGUUCGGGAUCAGUUGCCUCCUACUGUGGUGGCUAGUCCUAUUUAUAGAGGCCCUGGUCCUCUUCCCAAAUAUCGAGCGGGAAGGGAGCCAACAACGGCGGGCAAAUUUGAAGGGGGACAGCUAGUACAAGCUAUCCUGACAAAAGCGGUCUUCGCCUGUGAAAAGCUCUGGGGUGACACCGUCUUGGGCUCCAUGAUGACCUCCGCCUUGCCGUCCUCCUGGUCUUGGUCUCGUUGCACCAAUAUGGCAACCUUUGCCUGAUGCCUUAGUACUCUUUGCCUACGCUGGUCUCCUUAGCACCAAAGAGGAAAUGAGGACGCUGCGCGCACCGGCGCCCGCCUAGCACCCGCCUGGUACCGUUCGUCAUGGCUCACGUCACGAGAGCCUCGUGAGGUUUGCCUCGCCUUGAUAUCUCCACUCCUCGUGAGCCUGCUUGGCUAGGCCACUCCAGAGGAGGUCUUGCGUCAUCCUCCUCGUGAGGCUUGGACCCUCGCGAGGGUCUUGGGUGCCUUGUUGACGAAGAUGGGCCGUAUGGCCUGCUGCUUAGCCACGCUGUGGGCCGCAGGCAGGCAAGUCUGGGGACCCCCGUUCCUAGAACGCCGACGGCGUGGUUCCGAUAGGUGGUGCUAUCGUACAUCCACGUUGAUGGAGACUUCAACACACGAAGGGUAACGGUUGCGCGAGUCCACGGAGGGCUCCACCCAUGAAGGGUCCACGAAGAAGCAACCUUGUUUAUCCCACCAUGGCCAUCGCCCACGAAGGACUUGCCUCACUAGGGUAGAUCUUCACGAAGUAGGCGAUCUCCUUGCCCGUAAAAACUACUUGGUUCAACUCCACAAUCUUGACGGAGGCUCCCAAGUGACACCUAACCAAUCUAGGAGACACCACUCUCCAAAAGGUAAUAGAUGGUGCGUUGAUGAUGAACUCCUUGCUCUUGUGCUUCAAAUGAUAGUCUCCCCAACAUUCAACUCUCUCUCACAGAUUUGGAUUUGGUGGAAAGAUGAUUUGAGUGGCAAGCAACUUGGGGAAGGCUAGAGAUCAAGAUUCAUAUGGUUGGAAUGGAAUAUCUUGGUCUCAACACAUGAGUAGGUGGUUCUCUCUCAGAAAAUGUAUGCUGGAAGUGUAGGCAUGUUCUGAUGGCUCUCCUCACGAAUGAAGAGUGGAUGGAGGGGUAUAUAUAGCCUCCACACAAAUUCUAACCAUUACACACAAAUCACCAAACUCGGUGGGACCGAAUAAUGAAACUCGGUCAGACCGAUUUAGUUCAAAAUGUGAACGUUAGGAUAUUCGGUGGGACCGACAUGUCAAAUCGGUGGGACCGAUUUCAUUAGGGUUAGAGCAUAACGUAAUCUCGGUGAGACCGAUUACACAAACUCGGUGGGACCGAUUUUGGUAAUAAGCUAACCAGAGAGUUGGUCAGGCAAACUCGGUGGGACCGAUUCGCUCAUCUCGGUGAGACCGAAACGUUAUGAACACUACAGGAAUCAGCUACUUUGUCGUCUACCACGGCAGACGGCAAAGGCAAGGAUGGCGGACGGCAAAGUCCUUUGCCGUCUACCGCGGACGGCAAAAGGCUCCGGCAAAGUAGGCAUCGGUAAAGAGCUUCUUUGCCGUCUGCUUUUUGAAGCGGACGGCAAAGGGGCCUUUGCCAUCAGCGGUGCAUGGCAAAGAAAGCCGACGGCAAUAAAUUCGCUGUUAGUCCGUUAGGUGGCUAACGGCAGUCUUUGCCGUCCGUGGCUGACGGCAAAGAGCAUCAAGCCUUUGCCGUCUGCCGCGGUAGGCAAACUGACCAAAUGGGUCAGCUGCCAGGAAGCACAGGUGGUUGCCACGUGGCUUCUUUGCCGUCCGCCGCGGACGGCAAAGAGCCCGUUGCCGUCGGUGGCAGACGGCAAAGAGCCUGCAUUGCCUCUUUUUUCUGUUUUUUCGUAUACCCAACCAUUUUCACAGCAAAUAGAUGAUACAUAUAUAUUUUUCACAUGGCAAGUUCACAGCAAAAAUAUGAGAUAUCCAACACAUAUAAUUUCAUCAUACAUGCAGAGUUCCAUCAACCAUACAUAGCAAGUUCCACAUACAUGCAUCCAACCAUACAUAUUACAAUAGUGUCAUCCUACCAUACAUGCAUAGUUCAUCGAUACAAAAGAAACAUAGUUCAUCCAAACAAGCACUCCAUCUAUGCUAGCUUCCGUGAAGCGAAUGAAUUCUGCAAAAUGGGAAAUAAGAAAGUUAGAAGAAGAAGAAGAAGAAGAAGAAGAAGAACAAAAUGAAGAAGAAGAAGAAGAAGAAGAAGAAGAAUAUAUGACAUUUAUGAGCUAAUUUAGGUGAAAUUGAUCGUUUGUGAGCUAACUUAGGUGAAAUGGAUCAUUUAUGAGCUAACCUAGGUGAAAUGGAUCGCUUAUGAGCUAACUUAGGUAAAAUGCAUCAUUUUAGAGCUAACCUAGGUAAGAUGGAUCAUUUAUGAGCUAAGUAAGGUAAAAUGGGUCAUUUUAGAGCUAACUUGGGUAAAAUGGAUCAUUUAUGAGCUAAGUAAGGUAAAAUGGGUCAUUUUAGAGCUAACUUGGGUAAAAUGAAUCGUUUAUGAGCUAACUGGAUCAUUUUAGAACUAACUUAGGUAAAAUGGAUCGUUUAUGAGCUAACUAAGCUAAUUAUGCCAUUUUUGACAUAAGUAAGCUAAGUACAUGUCAUUAUUGAGCAAACCUAGUUAACUAAGCAUAUUAGAGCUAAAUUUGGUCAUUUUGGAGGAAACAAAGCUAAGUAUAGAUCGUUUUAGAGCUAACUUAGGUAAAAUGGAUGGUUUUGGAGGUCAGUAAGCUUAUUAAGUCAUUUUGGAGGAAAUAAAGCUAAGUCUAGGUCAUUGUGGUAAGCAUUUUGGAGGAAAUAAGGCUAAGUCUAGGUCUUUAUGCAUUUGUUAAGCAAAACACUAGAGAAACUUACCAUGAUCAUGGAGGUGUAGGAGCGGGCAGGCUCGUGCCGGUAGCUGGAGAAGGAUCGUGCGAUGCUUGUCUGGAGUUACGCUGCACCAAAGAUCAUUUCCAAUGUCUCGUUAGCAUGAUGACACUCAAAUGUUAAGACUAGCAAGUAAUGUCCAUUCAAAUUAAACUCACCGUGGUCCCAGGAGCAAUCACUGGCAUCGGCGGAGCGGUCUGACCAGUCUUCUCGCACACAGACUGCACAUUUGGUUUUGACGACUCAGUCAUACUAGUUAGUAAUGAGACAAACACUACAUGAAUGUUUUGGCUAAUCUGCAGAAGAAACUUACCACAAGGAGCUCGUACAUGGCCCUUUCCUGCAUGUCAUUCCGUGCCCUCUCCUCCUCCAACAUCGUUGUCGUCCUCUCCUCCAACUCCCGCUGCCUCUCCGCCGCCUCCGCCAGAAGUUUCUCCGUUCUAUCUCUCUCACUCUGUAUAGCAGCCUGCAACACCACUCCUCGUUACCAUUUGUAAUCAUUGAUGGAGGCACAGACAAUGUAAUGGAGAAAGAUAACUGAGUACGUAUAACUAACCUUGAUGGCGAGUUGGACUGGCCGUUCACGAGGCCUUAUCUCAGGAGCGGAGCUCGACUGGCGCGCCUUGAUCUCCGGGAGAGUGCUAGGACAACGUAUAAGUCCAUCUCCAAUGGCUAUGGAGCCAUGGGACCUCCCGCCACCAGAUAUCAUCACCAGCUCUGGAUCAAUGGGACCCUGGCUCGGGUUAAAGUCCUCCCCUUUCCUCGCCUUCCCCUCAUCUCUAUAUUUCAUGAGCUUGUCGUGGGAGGAGAUGUUGGUGAAGUUGUUUGCAUCAUCGAGGUCAGAUGGAGAGAAUGCCUUGACUUUCUUGAAAGAGGCAGUGUGGGCCAUGGCAUACAGGUCGUACACCUCUGGCACCUUAUCCGCCUUAUUGUAGCGUGCCCGAAAGAGAGAAACAAAGUAAAUUAGUAAUUAAAGGGCUCAAGCUAGCAUGAUGAAUGAAUUGCAUGAAUCAUGAAGCAAACCACAUACCCAGUUCCACCCGAACUGAUAUAAGUUGGAGCUGCCUUGAUGGUGUGGCACACCUUCCAUUUGGGCACGUUUGUCCUUGGCCGCGUUGUGGACGGCUAGCCAUUCUUUUGAGCACCACUCAUUGACCAACACCUCCCAACAAUCCAUCCGAUCCGCACACCAUCUCGGAGGCGCCUAAGUUAGCAAACAGAAACUUGAGCGCUACGGCUAUGAAUUACUAAAUGAAGGAAGUAAGUACAAGGCCUUAAGAAUUACCUUCAUGUACUGCUCCUUACUCAGGAACUUAUCGCGGCACGCCGGCUUGGGCUUCUUGAAACCAUGCAAGGCGUAGUAGUCUCGAACAGCCUGCACCCGAGCCUCGUGCCGUAAGUUCUGUAGUAGGCGCUUGCAGACGUUCUCGAUAACAUUUGCCGCCCCCUCCUCGUAUCCCUCCUCACACCUGUAGAAUGUCUGCAGUCAAAUGAGACAAUAUUGAUUAGUACAAUUAAUAACUAGCUAGUUGAAGAUUUUUAAAUGUGUAAAGGAGAAAUUACCCAGAACUUUCUGAUCACCACAUCUGCCCUCGUGUCGCACAAGACACCGUCGAUAAUCUCACCCGGCGGGGCCGGGGCAGCCAAGUAGUGCUCCCAGCUCAAUCCAAGCUCUGGAAGCCGACCCUCACCAGGCAACGUGACAAACCCCGGGAAGUUUUGCCGGCAAAGCACUCCAAGGACGGAGUUGGGCCGGCGGACACUAUGAUGGUGGUCCCAACCCCUACAGCAUAACAAGGCCAACGCAUUAGAUAUUUGAAGAAACGUGAAUGCAGAAGUUACAAAAGGAUUAAAUGCACUUACCUCUCCCCAUCAGGGAAAAUCAACCACCUUUGCUCGCGGGUCGCCGGCAUGGACGGGAGCCGUGUACAACCACGCUGGUAGACGGUGCCCCCCUCCUCCUCGAUAUCAGUCGGCUCCCCGCAAUCAUCAGCAUGGCCACUCGGCCCCUCAGGCUCAUCCGGCCAGGUACCCCAUCCAGACAUGUGCUCCUCCGGGGUCUCGUGGGCCGAAGGCGCGUUGAAAGAACAUGCGGUGCCCCCAUGUUUGGUUUUGGUAAUUGAUGACAAUCUCUAUGGACUAAUGGUUGCCUUGAGUUAUAUUUGAAGGAUUUGUCCAUAGGCAUUUCUUGAAGUCCAUGUGUUGGUUUCAAGGAGUUUAUGUGGUGACCAAGGUGUUAUUAAGGAAUUAUCCAAAGAUUGGUCAUGUGAGAGUUGAGCUUAUUGCAAGCAUGUCUUGAAGAAGAAGAUUGUGUGAUCAUUCAUGUUUACCUUCAAGACAUCAUCCAAAAGAAGAGAGUUGGAAAGAGUCAAGCUUGAUCAAGACUAAGUCAAGAGUGAAUCAAGUUGAUCAACACACAAAGCGCACAAGAUGUACCGAGGGAUCAAGCGAUCCCAUGGUAUGGUAAGCAUUGUCAAUUACGCUUUGUGUACUAACCCAUGGUCUUCGUGAGAGUUCUUUGUGGGGUUAGGUUGCGGUGUGCAAGUUCAAGUGAAGCGGGCAAGUUCAAGUAAAGCAUCACGAAGAGAUCAAAUGCUUGAAGCUUGCCAUCCAUUGUGGUGACAAUGGACUUGUGAAGAUGUGCGGAAGGGUGGCUCACCCAUAGUGGAGUAUGGGGGAGCAAUCAACUAGUCUUCAUCGAGCCAACGCAAUCAAGAAAGGUGGUCCAUCUUGAGGGAGUCAAGAUCGUCAUCAUCUAGCUCAAGUGGACCAUGUCCAAGGCAAAGGUUUUCUCUUUAUAGGUUUUCUAUUUUACCGGUCUCAUGAUGGUAGUUGGGAGACCGGGUUAUAGGAUCGAUUGCCGUACUAUCAAGGGGGGGGCUCUCGAUGAGUAGCUUGAUCGUAUCAUUCAUAGAGAGCUCAAACCAUUGCAUCCUUGCAUCAUCUUUCUUGGUUCUUGUUUGGUUCUUCUCUUUGUGAGUUUUGGAGCUUAUGGUCAUCUUGAUGACAAGCUCGAGUUCAUCGAAAACGGAGUUCACUCGCAUCUUCUAUGAUGUUUUCGAUGUUGGAAGGUUAUGCCGGUUCUUCUCGGUUGGAGGUUUCACUCCUCUAUUUGUUGGCAUACCUCCCAUGCUUCUUCUUACUAUAACCAACAAGCUUGAGUUUGCUCAAUUCGGAGCUCAUAUGAAGAAGUUUUGGCAGUUCUGUUUUUCUCCCUGCGGUAGUACCGCCGUGGCAGCGGUAGUACCGCUUGUAGCGUCAAGCGGUAGUACCGCUCCAGUACCGCUCUUCUACUGCCUCGAUUUUGGGUCUGCUCUUUUCGUGUCGGGUUCAGCGGUAGUCGCGUGGCAGUAAGGCACGGUAGUACCGUCUAUAAGCGAUAGUACCGCUACUGCAUUACUGCCACCGUACUCUGCUCUGUCCUGCCUCCUUCUGUCCCGUGUUCUGCUCCUCCAGCGGUAGUACCGCUGGGGUGAGCGGUAGUACCGCUUAUCGGCGGUACUACCGCCCCAAGGUUCUUGGUUUGUUGCUCCUUUUCACUGCUUCUUCCGCCCGAGCGGUUGUACCGCUCGUGGAGCGGUAGUACCGCUCGUGUGCGGGCUGAGCACAUAACGGUUGGAUUUUCCCCCUCCUAUAAAAGGGGGUCUUCUUCCCCAAUGAACCUUAUCCUUUGAGCUCGUGUUCUUCCCCCAUUGUUGACCUUCUUCGAGCUUGCUAACUCUCAAUCCCUCCAUGGAUUCUUGCUAGUUUUUUAGGGAAAAGAGAGAGGAGAUCUAGAUCCACAUUUCCACCAAUCACUUUCUCCUCUAUGUGAGGGAAACCCCUUGGAUCUAGACCUUGGAGUUCUUGGUGUUCUCCUUCUUGUUCUUCCUCUCAUUUUCCUCCCUGGCAUUAGUUGCUUCGGUGGGAUUUGAGAGAGAAGGACUUGGGCACUCCGUGUGCCCUUGCCAUUGCAUUUGGUGCAUCGGUUUGAGUUCUCCACGGUGAUACGUGGAAGUUACAAGUUGAGAAGCUUAUUACUCUUGGGUGCUUGGUACCCUUGAGCUUGUUCCUCUUGGGUGCUUGGGCGCCCUAGACGGUUGGUGGUGUUCGGAGCUCAAUCAUUGUGGUGCAAAGCUCCGGGCAAGCGUCGGGGUCUCCAAUUAGGUUGUGGAGAUCGCCCCGAGCAAUUUGACGAGUACCGGUGACUGCCCCCAAGGGUUGCCAAAGUGUACGGGUUCGGUGACCGCCCCCAAGGGUUGCCAUUUGUACGGGUUCGGUGACCGCCCUCAAGGGUCCCUUAGUGGAAUCACGGCAUCUUGCAUUGUGCGAGGGCGUGAGGAGAUUACGGUGGCCCUAGUGGCUUCUUGGGGAGCAUUGUGCCUCCACACCGCUCCAAACGGAGAUUAGCAUCCGCAAGGGUGUGAACUUCGAGAUACAUCCUCGUCUCCACGUGCCUCGGUUAUCUCUUACCCGAGCUCUUUACUUAUGCACUUUACUUUGUGAUAGCCAUAUUGUUUCUUGUCAUACUAUCACCUAGUAGUUUGUCUUGCUUAGCAUAAGUUGUUGGUGCACAUAGGUGAGCCUAGUUGUUGUAGGUUUUGUGCUUGACAAAUUAACCGCUAGGUUUAUUCCGCAUUUGUUCAAGCCUAAACCGUAAUUAUUUUAAAGCGCCUAUUCACCCCCCCCCCCCUCUAGGCGACAUCCUCGAUCUUUCACGCGUCGACCCAAGGCUCGUGGGCUGAAGGCCCGUCGACCCGAGGCUCGUGAACCGGAGUCCGUGUAGCCUCCUCCUCGGACGAGUCAACCCUAGCAGUCACGUGCUCGGGUGAAACAGCUGGGGGUGGCGGCGAGGAAGGCGCCCUAGCAGUCACCCUACCUCCUCUCCCGCGACCACGUGCUCCAACUCCUCUCUUCUUCCCUCCCUUACCUCGUCCCUUGCUAGGCACCGCUGUCGACGAAGAAGGGCCCGACGGUGUCGCCAUACUGUCCAGCAACGCUCGGCGGAGAGGUGCGUGUGGAAUGGAAGACCUCCCACCACGCGCCGACGAAGAAGGGGCCUCGGAGCGCUCCCGACCAGCGCCCACCAUCUUUCAACACCUGCCAUGACAAAGAGUAAACGAAAUUAGUACAACAUAAAAAAAAUACCGAAAUGAAUAAUUAUAUGUAUAUCACUUAUGUAUCAUCAUCAAGUACAACAUAAAAAAAUUGAAUACCUGACACUACUAAUAAUCUCAAUCACUAUCAUCAAUAAAUGCAUAAUCAUCAUCAUCACUAUAAUCAAUGACGGGCUCAUAGGGUUCAGUGGCAUCAAAUAUAUGACCUAACUCAUAAUUCACAAAUAUAUGACCUCGUCGGCCUCUGGUGUCGUGGGUGUCGUGUCGGGGUCAGGGUGCCGUGUCGGGGUCGGGGUGCUNNNNNNNNNNNNNNNNNNNNNNNNNNNNNNNNNNNNNNNNNNNNNNNNNNNNNNNNNNNNNNNNNNNNNNNNNNNNNNNNNNNNNNNNNNNNNNNNNNNNNNNNNNNNNNNNNNNNNNNNNNNNNNNNNNNNNNNNNNNNNNNNNNNNNNNNNNNNNNNNNNNNNNNNNNNNNNNNNNNNNNNNNNNNNNNNNNNNNNNNNNNNNNNNNNNNNNNNNNNNNNNNNNNNNNNNNNNNNNNNNNNNNNNNNNNNNNNNNNNNNNNNNNNNNNNNNNNNNNNNNNNNNNNNNNNNNNNNNNNNNNNNNNNNNNNNNNNNNNNNNNNNNNNNNNNNNNNNNNNNNNNNNNNNNNNNNNNNNNNNNNNNNNNNNNNNNNNNNNNNNNNNNNNNNNNNNNNNNNNNNNNNNNNNNNNNNNNNNNNNNNNNNNNNNNNNNNNNNNNNNNNNNNNNNNNNNNNNNNNNNNNNNNNNNNNNNNNNNNNNNNNNNNNNNNNNNNNNNNNNNNNNNNNNNNNNNNNNNNNNNNNNNNNNNNNNNNNNNNNNNNNNNNNNNNNNNNNNNNNNNNNNNNNNNNNNNNNNNNNNNNNNNNNNNNNNNNNNNNNNNNNNNNNNNNNNNNNNNNNNNNNNNNNNNNNNNNNNNNNNNNNNNNNNNNNNNNNNNNNNNNNNNNNNNNNNNNNNNNNNNNNNNNNNNNNNNNNNNNNNNNNNNNNNNNNNNNNNNNNNNNNNNNNNNNNNNNNNNNNNNNNNNNNNNNNNNNNNNNNNNNNNNNNNNNNNNNNNNNNNNNNNNNNNNNNNNNNNNNNNNNNNNNNNNNNNNNNNNNNNNNNNNNNNNNNNNNNNNNNNNNNNNNNNNNNNNNNNNNNNNNNNNNNNNNNNNNNNNNNNNNNNNNNNNNNNNNNNNNNNNNNNNNNNNNNNNNNNNNNNNNNNNNNNNNNNNNNNNNNNNNNNNNNNNNNNNNNNNNNNNNNNNNNNNNNNNNNNNNNNNNNNNNNNNNNNNNNNNNNNNNNNNNNNNNNNNNNNNNNNNNNNNNNNNNNNNNNNNNNNNNNNNNNNNNNNNNNNNNNNNNNNNNNNNNNNNNNNNNNNNNNNNNNNNNNNNNNNNNNNNNNNNNNNNNNNNNNNNNNNNNNNNNNNNNNNNNNNNNNNNNNNNNNNNNNNNNNNNNNNNNNNNNNNNNNNNNNNNNNNNNNNNNNNNNNNNNNNNNNNNNNGGCGGGUGGCUGGUGGCGGGGGCGGCGGUGGGUGGCGGUGGUCGUCGGGGUGGGGAGGAACAGAAAGAGAGAGAGGGAGGGAGCGGGGUGGGGGACGGCCGUUAGUUAGGUUGUCUCUUUGCCAUCCGCCCCCCUUUGUCGUCCGCUUCUUUGCUCUUUGCCGUCUGCUAGCAGACGGCAAAGAGGGGGUCAUUAGGUUUUUUUCUAAGCAGCUCGUUAGUGGGGCCCACCUCUCUCUUUGUCGUCCGCCAACUGACGGCAAAGAUUCUUUGCCGUCCACCAGUAGACGGCAAAGAAUUGGCUGAUGGCAAAGUCAUUCUUUGCCAUCAGCCAGUUCUUUGCCGUCUGUUUUUUUCAAGCUGACGGCAAAGACCUUCUUUGCCGUCCGCCAGCAGACGGCAAAUAAGCAAAUUCCAGUAGUGGAAGGGGAAACAGAGAGUUUGCAUUGUGAACUCGGUGGGACCAAUCGCUCAUCUCGGUUGGACCGAAACGUUAUGAAGGGAAACAGAGAGUUUGCAAUCCCAUCUCGGUGAGACUGAGAUCCCUAUCGGUGAGACCGAAGUGGCUAGGGUUUGUGGCAGUGGUUAUGUCAAGUGAACUCGGUGGCGUCGGAUAGAAUGUUUCGGUGGGGCCGAGUUUGACUUUUGCUUUGGGACAUAUGUGGAUAUGAGAAAGUAGUUGAAGGGUUUUGGAGCAUAUCACUAAGCAUUUUGAGCAAGCAACCCAUUAAGCAACACCUCAUCCCCUUUUAAUAGUAUUGGCUUUUCCUAUGGACUCAAUGUGAUCUUGGAUCACUAAAAGUAAAAUGUAGAGUCUUGAGCUUUAGAGCUUGAGCCAAUCUUUUGUCCUUAGCAUUUUGAGGGGUCCACAUUCCUGAUCCAUGCCAUGCCAAUCAUUGAACUUUCCUGAAAUAUUUAUCUUGAAAUAGCAUUAGCUCAAUGAGCUAUAUAUUGUUAGGAAUUACCAAAACCACCCAUGUAUAGUUGCACUUUCACUUAUAUACACGCUAGGUAGGGCAUCUAGGAUUACAAGGUCGCUAACUUGGAGUGGAGGCGGCAUGAGAAGUCUUGGAGUAUACGUCAAGUCUUCGGCAGGGGCAGUCUUGUUCUUACAUCCAGCAUGCGGCUUUCGGAGUCCAACUUAGGGAGGAUUUGGGCCCACUGGCCUAGCUCGAGGAAUAAGUGCCGACUAGGUUAGAACUCCUGAGUCCAGGACACCUUCAGCCGCUUUGAGUGAUUGAUUGAGAAGUGUAAUUGGAGCAACCCAUACUCUGAAGAACUUGAGAGAAUUCUAAGUGAGGAAAAACCCAAACAACCACAUCCAAAUUAAUGAGUAUCAUUGAUGAGAUUGUCCUGUGUGAUACUAAAGGAAAUAUGCCCUAGAGGCAAUAAUAAAGUUAUUAUUUAUUUCCUUAUUUCAUGAUAAAUGUUUAUUAUUCAUGCUAGAAUUGUAUUAACCGGAAACUUAGUACAUGUAUGAAUACAUAGACAAACAGAGUGUCACUAGUAUGCCUCUACUUGACUAGCUUGUUGAAUCAAAGAUGGUUAAGUUUCCUAGCCAUGGACAUGAGUUGUCAUUUGAUUAACGGUAUCACAUCAUUAGAGAAUGAUGUGAUUGACUUGACCCAUUCCGUUAGCUUAGCACUUGAUCGUUUAGUAUGUUGCUAUUGCUUUCUUCAUUACUUAUACAUGUUCCUCUGACUAUGAGAUUAUGCAACUCCCGAAUAGCGGAGGAACACUUUGUGUGCUACCAAACGUCACAACGUAACUGGGUGAUUAUAAAGGUGCUCUACAUGUGUCUCCGAUGGUACUUGUUGAGUUGGCAUAGAUCGAGAUUAGGAUUUGUCACUCCGAUUGUCGGAGAGGUAUCUCUGGGCCCUCUCGGUAAUGCACAUCACUAUAAGCCUUGCAAGCAAUGUGACUAAUGAGUUAGUUGCGGGAUGAUGCAUUAUGGAACGAGUAAAGAGACUUGCCGGUAACGAGAUUGAACUAGGUAUUGAGAUACUGACGACCGAAUCUCGGGCAAGUAACAUACCGAUGACAAAGGGAACAACGUAUGCUGUUAUGCGGUUUGACCGGUAAAGAUCUUCGUAGAAUAUGUAGGAGCCAAUAUGAGCAUCCAGGUUCCGCUAUUGGUUAUUGACCGGAUACGAGUCUCGGUCAUGUCUACAUAGUUCUCGAACCCGUAGGGUCCGCACGCUUAACGUUCGGUGACGAUUGGUAAUAUGAGUUUAUGUGUUUUGAUGUACCGAAGGUAGUUCGGAGUCCCGGAUACGAUCACGGACAUGACGAGGAGUCUCUAAAUGGUCGAGACAUAAAGAUCGAUAUAUUGGAUGACUAUGUUUGGACUUUGGAAGGGUUCCAAGCAAGUUCGGACAAAUACCGGAGUGCCGGGGGGUUACCGGAACCCCCGGGGAGUGUAAUGGGCCUAUGGGCCUUAGUGGAGAAGAGGAGGGGCGGCCAGGGCCCAGGGCAGACCGCGCGCCCCCUCCCCCUCUAGUCCGAAUUUAACAAGGAGGGGGCGGCGCCCCCCUUUCCUUCCCCCUCUCUCCUCCUUCCCUCUCUCCUACUCCUACACUUGGAAGGGUUGGAGUCCUACUCCCGAUGGGAGUAGGACUCCCCUUGGGGCGCGCCUAGGAGGGCCGGCCCCUCCCCCUCCUCCACUCCUUUAUAUACAGGGGACGGGGGCACCCCAUAGACACACAAGUUGAUCAGUUGAUCUUUUAGCCGUGUGCGGUGCCCCCCUCCACCAUAAUCCACCUCGGUCAUAUCGUAGCGGUGCUUAAGCGAAGCCCUGCGUCGGUAGCAUCAUCAUCACCAUCAUCACGCCGUCGUGCUGACGGAACUCUCCCUCGAAGCUCUGUUGGAUCGUGAGUUCGAGGGACGUCAUCGAGCUGAACGUGUGCUGAACUCGGAGGUGCCGUGCGUUCGGUACUUGGAUCGGUCGGAUCGUGAAGACGUACGACUACAUCAACCGCGUUGUCAUAACGCUUCCGCUUUCGGUCUACGAGGGUACAUAGACAACACUGUCCCCUCUCGUUGCUAUGCAUCACCAUGAUCUUGCGUGUGCGUAGGAAUUUUUUUGAAAUUACUACGUUCCCCAACAGUGGCAUCCGAGCCAGGUUUAUGUGUAGAUGUUAUAUGCACGAGUAGAACACAAGUGAGUUGUGGGCGAUACAAGUCAUACUGCUUACCAGCAUGUCACACUUUGAUUCGGCGGUAUUGUUGGAUGAAGUGGCCCGGACCGACAUUACGCGUACGCUUACGCGAGACUGAUUCUACCGACGUGCUUCGCACACAGGUGGCUGGCGGGUGUCAGUUUCUCCAACUUUAGUUGAAUCAAGUGUGGCUACGCCCGGUCCUUGAGAAGGUUAAAACAGCACAUACUUGAUGAAAUAUCGUUGUGGUUUUCAUGCGUAGGUAAGAAUGGUUCUUGCUCAGCCCGUAGCAGCCACGUAAAACUUGCAACAACAAAGUAGAGGACGUCUAACUUGUUUUUGCAGGGCAUGUUGUGAUGUGAUAUGGUCAAGACAUGAUGUUAAAUUUUAUUGUAUGAGAUGAUCAUGUUUUGUAACAGAGUUAUCGGCAACUGGCAGGAACCAUAUGGUGUUGCUUUAUUGUAUGAAAUGCAAUCGCCAUGUAAUUGCUUUACUUUAUCACUAAGCGGUAGCGAUAGUCGUAGAAGCAAUAGUUGGCGAGAUUACAACGAUGCUACAAUGGAGAUCAAGGUGUCGUGCCGGUGACGAUGGUGAUCAUGACGGUGCUUUGGAGAUGGAGAUCAAAGGCACAAGAUGAUGAUGGCCAUAUCAUAUCACUUAUAUUGAUUGCAUGUGAUGUUUAUCUUUUAUGCAUCUUAUUUUGCUUAGAUCGACGGUAGCAUUAUAAGAUGAUCUCUCACUAAAUUUCAAGGUAUAAGUGUUCUCCCUGAGUAUGCACCGUUGUGAAAGUUCGUCGUGCCGAGACACCACGUGAUGAUCGGGUGUGAUAAGCUCUACAUUCACAUACAACGGGUGCAAGCCAGUUUUGCACGCGCAGAAUACUCGGGUUAAACUUGAUGAGCCUAGCAUAUGCAGAUAUGGCCUCGGAACACUGAGACCGAAAGGUUGAGCGUGAAUCAUAUAGUAGAUAUGAUCAACAUAGUGAUGUUCACCAUUGAAAACUACUCCAUCUCACGUGAUGAUCGGACAUGGUUUAGUUGAUAUGGAUCACGUGAUCACUUAGAUGAUUAGAGGGAUGUAUAUCUAAGUGGGAGUUCUUAAGUAAUAUGAUUAAAUUGAACUUUAAUUUAUCAUGAACUUAGUCCUGAUAGUAUUUGCAUAACUAUGUUGUAGAUCAAUAGCUCGCGAUGUAGCUCCCCGUUUUAUUUUUGAUAUGUUCCUAGAGAAAACUAAGUUGAAAGAUGUUAGUAGCAAUGAUGCGGAUUGGAUCCGUGAUUUGAGGAUUAUCCUCAUUGCUGCACAGAAGAAUUAUGUCCUUGAUGCACCGCUAGGUGACAGACCGAUUGCAGGAACAGAUGCAGACGUUAUGAACGUUUGGCAAGCUCGAUAUGAUGACUACUUGAUAGUUUAGUGCACCAUGCUUUACGGCUUAGAAUCGGGGCUUCAAAGACGUUUUGAACGCCACGGAGCAUAUGAGAUGUUCCAAGAGUUGAAAUUAGUAUUUCAGACUCAUGCCCAUGUCGAAAGGUAUGAGACCUUUGACAAGCAUUUUGCCUACAAGAUGGAGGAGAAUAGCUCAGCUAGUGAGCAUGUGCUCAGAAUGUCUGAGUACUACAAUCACUUGAAUCAAGUGGGAGUUAAUCUUCCAGAUAAGAUAGUGAUUGACAUAGUUCUCUAGUCACUAUCACCAAGUUACUAGAACUUCGUGAUGAACUAUAAUAUGCAAGGGAUAAUGGAAACGAUUCCCAAACUCUUCAUGAUGCUGAAAUCGAUGAAGGUAGAAAUCAAGAAAAGCAUCAAGUGUUGAUGGUUGACAAGACCACUAGUUUCAAGAAAAGGGCAAAGGGAAGAAGGGGAACUUCAAGAAGAACGGCAAGCAACUUGAUGCUCAAGUGAAGAAGCCCAAGUCUGGACCUAAGCCUGAGACUAAGUGCUUCUACUGCAAAGGGACUGGUCACUGGAAGCAGAACUGCCCCAAGUAUUUGGCGGAUCAGAAGGAUGGCAAAGUGAACAAAGGUAUAUUUGGUAUACAUGUUAUUGAUGUGUACUUUACUAGUGUUUAUAGAAACCCCUCAGUAUUUGAUACUAGUUCAGUUGCUAAGAUUAGUAACUCGAAACAGGAGUUGCAGAAUGAACAGAGACUAGUUAAGGGUGAAGUGAUGAUGUGUGUUGGAAGUGGUUCCAAGAUUGAUAUGAUCAUCAUCGCACACUCCCUAUACUUUCGGGAUUAGUGUUGAACCUAAAUAAAUGUUAUUUGGUGUUUGCGUUAAGCAUGAAUAUGAUUGGAUCAUGUUUAUUGCAAUACAGUUAUUCAUUUAAUGUCAGAGAAUAAUUGUUGUUCUGUUUACAUGAAUAAAACUUUCAAUGGUCAUACACCCAAGGUGAAUGGUUUAUUGAAUCUCGAUCGUAGUGAUACACUUAUUCAUAAUAUUGAAGCCAAAAAUGCAGAUUUAAUAAUGAUAGUGCAACUUAUUUAUGGCACUACCGUUUAGGUCAUAUUGGUGUAAAGCGCAUGAAGAAAAUCCAUGCUGAUGGGCUUUUGGAAUCACUUGAUUAUGAAUCAGUUGAUGCUUGCGAACCAUGCCUCAUGGGCAAGAUGACUAAGACUCCGUUCUCCGGGACAAUGGAGCGAGCAACAGACUUGUUCCAAAUAAUCAAAUAAUACAUACUGAUGUAUGCAGUCCGAUGAGUGUUGAGGCUCGCGGCAGGUAUCAUUAUUUUCUGACCUUCACAGAUGAUUUGAGCAGAUAUGGGUAUAUCUAUUUGAUGAAACAUAAAUCUGAAACAUUUGAAAAGUUCAAAUAAUUUCAGAGUGAAGUGGAAAAUCAUCGUAACAAGAAAAUAAAGUUUCUACGAUCUGAUCGUGGAGGAGAAUAUUUGAGUUACGAGUUUGGUCUUCAUUUGAAACAAUGCGGAAUAGUUUCGCAACUCACGCCACCUGGAACACCACAGCGUAAUGGUGUGUCCGAACAUCGUAAUCGUACUUUAUUAGAUAUGGUGCAAUCUAUGAUGUCUCUUACCGAUUUACCACUAUCGUUUUGGGGUUACACAUUAGAGACAGAUGCAUUCACGUUAAAUAGGGCAACAUCUAAAUCCGUUGAGACGACACCAUAUGAACUGUGGUUUGGCAAGAAACCAAAGUUGUCGUUUCUUAAAGUUUGGGGUUAUGAUGCUUAUGUGAAAAAAAAUCAUCCUGAUAAGCUCAAACCCAAAUCGGAGAAAUGUGUCUUCAUAGGAUACCCAAAGGAGACAGUUGGGUACACCUUCUAUCACAGAUCCGAAGGCAAGACAGUCAUUGCUAAGAAUGGAUCCUUUCUAGAGAAGGAGUUUCUCUCGAAAGAAGUGAGUGGGAGGAAAGUAGAACUUGACGAGGUAACUGUACCUUCUCCCGAAUUGGAAAGCAGUUCAUCACAGAAAUCAGUUCCAGUGAUGCCUACACCAAUUAGUGAGGAAGUUAAUGAUGAUGAUCAUGUAACUUCAGAUCAAGUUACUACUGAACCUCGUAGGUCAACCAGAGUAAGAUCCGCACCAGAUUGGUACGGUAAUCCUGUUCUGGAGGUCAUGUUACUUUGACCAUGACGAACCUACGAACUAUGAGGAAACGAUGAUGAGCCUAGAUUCCGCGAAAUGGCUUGAGGCCAUGAAAUCUGAGAUGGGAUCCAUAUAUGAGAACAAAGUAUGGACUUUAGUUGACUUGCCCGGUGAUCGGCAAGUCAUUGAGAAUAAAUGGAUUUUCAAGAGGAAGACGAACGAUGAUAGUAGUGUUACUAUCUACAAAGCUAGACUUGUCGAAAAAGGUUUUUGACAAAGUUCAAGGUGUUGACUACGAUGAGAUUUUCUCACUCGUAGCGAUGCUUAAAGUCUGUCCGAAUCAUGUUAGCAAUUGCCACAUUUUAUGAAAUCUGAAAAAUAGAUGUCAAAAUUGUCUUCCUUAAAUGGAUUUAUUAAAGAAGAGUUGUAUAUGAUGCAACUAGAAGGUUUUGUCGAUCCUAAAAGUGCUAACAAAGUGUGCAAGCUCCAGUGAUCCAUUUAUGGACUAGUGCAAGCCUCUCGGAGUUGGAAUAUACGCUUUGAUAGUGUGAUCAAAGCAUAUGGUUUUAUACAGACUUGCGGUGAAGCCUGUAUUUACAAGAAAGUGAGUGGGAGCACUACAGCCUUUCUGAUAAGUAUAUGUGAGUGACAUAUUGUUGAUCGGAAAUGACGUAGAAUUUUUUGGAAAGCAUAAAGGAGUGUUUGAAAGAAGUUUUUCAAAGAAAGACCUCGAUGAAGCUGCUUACAUAUUGAGCAUCAAGAUUUAUAAAGAUAGAUCAAGACGCUUGAUAAGUUUUUUCAAUGAGUACAUACCUUGACAAAUUUUUGAAGUAUUUCAAAAUGGAACAGUCAAAGAAGGAGUUCUUGCCUGUAUUGCAAGGUGGGAAAUUGAGUAAGACUCAAAGCCCGACCACGGCAGAAGAUAGAAAGAGAAUGAAAGUCAUUCCCUAUGCCCCAGCCAUAGGUUCUAUAAAGUAUGCCAUGUUGUGUACCAGAUCUAUUGUAUACCCUACACUGAGUUUGGCAAGGGAGUACAAUAGUGAUCUAGGAGUAGAUCACUGGACAGCGGUCAAAAUUAUCCUUAGUGGAAUAAGGAUAUGUUUCUCGAUUAUGGAGGUGACAAGAGGUUCGUCGUAAAGGGUUACGUCGAUGCAAGUUUUGACACUGGUCCAGAUGACUCUAAGUCUCAAUCUGGUACAUAUUGAAAGUGGGAGAAAUUAGCUAGAGUAGCUCCGUGCAGAGCAUUGUUGACAUAGAAAUUUGCAAAAUACACACGGAUCUGAAUAUGGCAGACCCGUUGACUAAACUUCUCUCACAAGCAAAACAUGAUCACACCUUAGUACUCUUUGGGUGUUAAUCACAUGGCAAUGUGAACUAAGAUUAUUGACUCUAGUAAACCCUUUGAGUGUUGUUCACAUGGCGAUGUGAACUAUGGGUGUUAAUCACAUGGUGAUAUGAACUAUUGGUGUUAAAUCACAUGGCAAUGUGAACUAGAUUAUUGACUCUAGUGCAAGUGGGAGACUGAAGAAAAUAUGCCCUAGAGGCAAUAAUAAAGUUAUUAUUUAUUUCCUUAUUUCAUGAUAAAUGUUUAUUAUUCAUGCUAGAAUUGUAUUAACCGGAAACUUAGUACAUGUGUGAAUACAUAGACAAACAGAGUGUCACUAGUAUGCCUCUACUUGACUAGCUCGUUGAAUCAAAGAUGGUUAAGUUUCCUAGCCAUGGACAUGAGUUGUCAUUUGAUUAACGGGAUCACAUCAUUAGAGAAUGAUGUGAUUGACUUGACCCAUUCUGUUAGCUUAGCACUUGAUCGUUUAGUAUGUUGUUAUUGCUUUCUUCAUGACUUAUACAUGUUCCUAUGACUAUGAGAUUAUGCAACUCCCGAAUAGCGGAGGAACACUUUGUGUGCUACCAAACGUCACAACGUAACUGGGUGAUUAUAAAGGUGCUCUACAGGUGUCUCCGAUGGUACUUGUUGAGUUGGCAUAGAUCGAGAUUAGGAUUUGUCACUCCGAUUGUCGGAGAGGUAUCUCUGGGCCCUCUCGGUAAUGCACAUCACUAUAAGCCUUGCAAGCAAUGUGACUAAUGAGUUAGUUGCGGGAUGAUGCAUUACGGAACGAGUAAAGAGACUUGCCAGUAACGAGAUUGAACUAGGUAUUGAGAUACCGACGAUCGAAUCUCGGGCAAGUAACAUACGAUGACAAAGGGAACAACGUAUGUUGUUAUGCGGUUUGACCGAUAAAGAUCUUCGUAGAAUAUGUAGGAGACAAUAUGAGCAUCCAGGUUCCGCUAUUGGUUAUUGACCGGAGACGAGUCUCGGUCAUGUCUACAUAGUUCUCGAACCCGUAGGGUCCGCACGCUUAACGUUCGGUGACGAUCGGUAAUAUGAGUUUAUGUGUUUUGAUGUACCGAAUGUAGUUCGGAGUCCCGGAUAUGAUCACAGAAAUGACGAGGAGUCUUGAAAUGGUCGAGACAUAAAGAUCGAUAUAUUGGAUGACUAUGUUUGGACUUCGGAAGGGUUCCGAGCAAGUUCGGACAAAUACCGGAGUACCGGGGGGUUACCGGAACCCCCCGGGGAGUGUAAUGGGCCUAUUGGGCCUUAGUGGAGAAGAGGAGGGGCGGCCAGGGCAGGCCGCACGCCCCCUCCCCCUCUAGUCCGAAUUGGACAAGGAGGGGGGCGGCGCCCCCCUUUCCUUCCCCCUCUCUCCUCCUUCCCUCUCUCCUACUCCUACUCUUGGAAGGGUUGGAGUCCUACUCCCGGUGGGAGUAGGACUCCCCUUGGGGCGCGCCUAGGAGGGUCGGCCCCUCCCCCUCCUCCACUCCUUUAUAUACGGGGGAGGGGGGCACCCCAUAGACACACAAGUUGAUCAGUUGAUCUUUUAGCCGUGUGCGGUGCCCUCCUCCAUCAUAAUCCACCUCGGUCAUAUCGUAGCGGUGCUUAAGCGAAGCCCUGCGUCGGUAGCAUCAUCAUCACCGUCAUCACGCCGUCGUGCUGACGGAACUCUCCCUCGAAGCUCUGCUGGAUCGUGAGUUCGAGGGACGUCAUCGAGCUGAACGUGUGCUGAACUCGGAGGUGCCGUGCGUUCGGUACUUGGAUCGGUCGGAUCAUGAAGACAUACGACUACAUCAACCGCGUUGUCAUAACGCUUCCGCUUUCGGUCUACGAGGGUACGUAGACAACACUCUCCCCUCUCGUUGCUAUGCAUCACCAUGAUCUUGCGUGUGCGUAAGAAUUUUUUUGAAAUUACUACGUUCCCCAACAGAUACGACGGUUGUUACCUUUGAAGACUGUGAUCACCUAGACGGUUAGACGUCAUGUUUUGAGAAUCCAAGAAGAAAUCGUGGAGUGCCAUAGAACGACUAUGUGAAGGUUUUGGAAGUCUACCUUGAAGACUUACCAUAAAUGAUUGGGUGAGGUCUAAGUGAUCUUAGCUCAAGGGGAAUAAGGUGAAGACUAAGAGCCUUCAGAGUUAAAUCUCAAGUUUCCCUAACCAGACGUACAGUUUUCAUAGCAACUGGAACUGGUCAAUCAAACUCAUUGUCUUCACGAAGCUACCAUGGUUCCAAUUCCCCGGCACUUUACUUUCGGUACAUCAGUGUUGAAGAAUUUGACUCUCACCCAUGAAUACUUUGACUUGAAGACUUUCAUCAUGAUACUUUUCUUUCUCUUUCAGUUUGUCGUUCUUAAGGUUGUUUAUUCUUAUGUUCGCUUGUUCUUCAUAUACUGGUACUUAGUAUGCUUGCUUAGUUCCGUUCUGAUGACUUUGUCCUCAUUCUGAAUUGCAUGUUAGUGUAGUUUUCAUUCCGUCACGUAUUUCUUCACCCUGUUAUUUUUCGAAGAACUCGUGUCCUUGAAGAAUUUAUUAAAAUCUCCCAUUCACCUCCGUCUGGUCGAUAACUUGCACUUUCAGCCAUCCACCACCCAGCAACAACACACGAAAGGUACCCGGCAUAACCGACCCAACGUGGGCCAACAACCGAGUAAGGCACGACUACACCCACGAUGACUAGUCGAAGAAAACACACACGCAGGGGCAAUGAAUAAACGCUACAAAAUGUGGCCUCGGGUGUGCCCGUGUUCCACAGGUCAUUGAGGUCUGAGGCCAUCGGGGAGGUCACACAAGUAAAACCCCGAUUGAAUGGGGGUAAAGGUGCCAGGCGGGCAUCAGCGCAGGGCACGCAAGGGCGCGCAUGCACCGGGAGGCGGGUACUUUAGCAUCAUUUAAAGGAGUAAUGUGUUUUCCCUCAUCUAUGCAAAUAUUAAUCUAAGUGAGGCUCCCGGAUACUCUCUCAUCUCAUAUGUGCAUCUCAAACUCCCAUUCAUCUCUUUAAUUUGAGAGAGGUUUAAAAGGCCUUCCAAAUCAACUGAAUAAUCGCAGGGGUCGGGAGAAAGGGGGGUCCAAUCUUUCCCGCCACCUGAUGGUGUUUCUCGCCAAAACUCGUUGUCGACACCUCUCCCUCUCCCACCCCUCUCCGCUAGGGAGCCCCAGCUCCAGGUUGGCCCACUGUGUCCUAGUGCGGCAAGCGUAGCUCACAAGGUGAGGUACAUAGGCAUCCCUCGCCAUAUGUCCUUUGAUGGUAUGACAUUGCCUCUCCUCCAGCUCCGGACAACUCCCCGCGAUCCUUGUGGAUCUCAGGAUCAAGGACAACGAUGACCUCCACUAUGGCCCUCCAUCCCUGCCACGAACGCCUCCCCCUCCGCCUCGCCACACAACAAGUCAACUUCAAGGGGCAGAUGCAUGACGCCUCAAAGCAGAGGACCACCCCGACCUUGACGCAUCACCCCAGAUAAGUCGCACACCCCGCCGCCAAUAGUUGUCUUCGACGACCAUAAUGCAGGUUUGUUUUUUUCCUUCUUCUUUUAAUUCAGCCAUGUGUACAUGAGAUUGGAGAUGAGCAUGAUCUGCGCAAAUGUUGUAUGGGGUACUAUGUACAUGAACUUUAUAUGCACAUUUUCCCAAACCUUUUUGCAAUGCUUGUUGCAUAUGUAGGAACAUGUAGAUAACCAAGAGAACUUCGUGGUAAACUUGAUCAAUCUAGGAUUCGAGGUUGGAUGAUAUAUUUUCUGCCAAUGUCAACUAUCUUUUGGAAAUGGUUUUGUCAAUUGUUCCGUUAUUUUGGUAAGCACUUGAUAGUUACUUUUUUGUUAUGCCAAAUUAUAUGCUAAACAAUGUCCGAACAUGUUGUUAACACAGUGGUUGAAAUUACAUAUAUUCAUGCGUCAAUCUCAAAGUUAUUCAUCUAGUAUCAUUAUUAUUCUGGAUUUAUCCUUGGGUAUAUGUGCCAUGAAAGAAUAUAUAUCAUCCAAUUCCAAGAACAACAAAAGGGGAGGGUUGUUGAUGGUGACUGUGUUCUCGUCUGCUCCAGUACAUUCUCUUCCAAGCACGUAUAUCAAGCCAUUUCCUCUCAGUUUCUCAGUUUUUUGAUAAACAGUGGAUUUUACUGACUCAAAAUAAAACAUCAAGGAAUUACAAACGCAAUGAGCACAUACACGACCUCUGCAUAACACCAACGCACGCACACGCACACACAAAAGAAAAAAAACACCGACAAAGAGAAUUCAUAUAAGAUCAAAGCUAUCCCUAUGAGAGGAAAAAAGAAAAAAAGUCCCUGAAGUGACAGAAGCAGCUGCAGAUGGCAAAAACGUUGCAGCAAGUAAACAAACUUAUCAUCCUCGGACAGAACUACAGCCGAACUGUUUUUCGAUUCGAAGAUCACGCUAAUAUACUCGCGGUGUCACCUUACUUAUCUGCAAAGUAACAGGAGUAGUAUAAUACCAUAUCCAUGGAAUAUAUUCGACAGAGUCGUAUGAUUGCCUUGCGCUGUUACCAGGACAGGUACAUGACUUGGCCGCAUCUGGAAGCGAACUGUGUCAUCGUAUUCCAGCGACCUCGGCUGCCCGGCUCGGCUCAGCCAACCACCUUUCGCACCGCACCGACGACAUAACACAUCACAUCCAUUUUCCUCCAACAAAACGGGACAAGUGUGUAAUCGUAGGACGAACGCAAACAUGGCUGAAACAAGACCGGUGUACAACCAUGCCCAAUGUGCAGGGAGCAUGUGGGACAGGGGUACUCCAUCAAAACUAAUAAGAACACCAAACAAUGGAAUUCCACAAGGAACUUUUUAGUACCCGGAGUUCCAUUUCCACAGAAAUAUCGUUGGAAUUCUCUAAGCCUUGUUCGGUUGCGUGUGAAUCCAAGUGGAUUGAAAGGGUUUGAGGGGUUUUCAAACCUAUUUAGAAGUCAAAAUACGAACCAAUCCUUGCCAAUCCCCUCCAAUCCUCUUGGGGAGAGGAUUAACCGAACAAGCCCUAACUGGAGUACCCGGAGCUGCUGCACCAGGUGUAUUUCCCGAAGACUUACUCCAAUACAGAAUAUAUCCCUAAAAGAUUUCGGUUGGAGCUGGCAUAUGCCAAACAUGAAUACCAUCUGAACUCCUGAUGCUACUGAUAUAACACCUGGCAUGUAUACCCAGUCCUGAGUGAAAAAGACACCGCAAGCAUGAUCCUUAUCAACAAAAUAGUCACGCAAUAAAUCAACAAAACCCAAAGUCAUUCCACGUUCCCCUUGCAAGGGAGCCAACGUGGGCAAUCAUCUGUGGAGGCCAGACAUACACCCACAAGCAAGAUUGCAAUAGACAUAUCUCGGCAAAUGCUAGGCAAUAAAAGAUGCAUCAGGCAAACACAGGCUAAUAACGAUAUAGAGAUAGAUAGAUAGAUAGCAAUGGCACUUGCAGCCAAUGUGUAUGUACAGCAAAAGACCAGGCCACAUAAAUAGCAGCGAUCUAAGUUGAUGGUCGCCAUGUUCGCCAACACUAGAGAGCACACCUAAAAGGCUUCUAAGACUAGUAUGUACAGGCAAGGAUAGAUAAGGCUGGUGUGGCGGGGAACCCUCUGCUUUCUUCCCCUCCUAUCAUCAGCUCCACACCCGAUCAUGUUGUAAGUUUAGCGAGCCGCCCACAUCUACGUAUCUUGUUUCCCUACAUGAUAAUACUUACAAAACCACGCGCGAGUUUCUGCUGCGUGUGGCGCGGGCAGCCAGCGUCAGUAUCUGUUUCCAGUCAGGACAGGUGGAAGGACCCCUGCCCCUCAGUAAUCGCGUAGAGUAGCUUCUCCCUCAUCCUUUCCUGAAGGGCAAAAGGCUUGGUGUUAGUACACCAAUGUACGGUAACUUUCAGGAAACUCAAACGUAUAGUAACUGGAACUGACUACUGCAAAUAAUCAUGCCAGAAAAGGCAUGUUCAGAAUGCCAAUUACUACUGACUUGGAUGUGCGCUUCAUAGUCCAUAGUUUCUUUUAGCUUAUAAGUGUUACAUCAAGACAUUAAAGCGCUUAUCUUAAUUAAUAAAAAUAUUAAUAAGAAUAGAAGUAAACUAAUCUACCAAGAUGUUCUCAGUUUAGGUAGCAGAAAGGUAGAGAGCUCAAACCUUAGAGCAGUAGGCAGGUAACUUAAGAUAGUUAGCGCAAGUCAUCACACUUGGCAGAUCAUCAUCAGCAUCGUUGUUGCUAUGCUGUUAAUUGUAUAGCACAAGUUAGCAAUCUAGUAAAAAGUAACUGAUAGAGAGAUAGAGAGGUAGCUUUAAAUUGUGAAAACAGACCUUCCUGACAACUGUCAAAUUUGGAUUCAGUGCAGCCAGACCGCCUGGAGGGAGCCGAGGUGAACCAGUUAUAAAUUGCAAGAAAGCUCUGCGUUCAUGGCAUCCAAACUCUUGUAUGAUCUCUAACAACUGCAGCGCAUUAAGAUUUCUUGUUAUGGUACUUAGAUACUAUUUUUCUUGGAAAAUGGAACUUCAAAAUGUAUCUACUAAUAAAAGACUUACAUUAAGGACUGCAGGACUGCUGGAGGUGUAGCCAUGAUCAAAUUUUAUGUGAUCCACAAGUUUCACAAACUGUUCAGAAGCAAGGUGUCAAUAACGAAAAAACGAAUAUUUACAAGAAAAUCAACAACUUCCAACAAAAGUAAUCUUGUUCGACACAGUGUAAUCUUGUUCUCCGCAUAUUUACAAGAAAAGGCACAUACAUCCCAGUUAUCUUGUUCUCCGCAGAGUAAUCUCUCCAGCUCAUCCUCUGAGAAUGCCCGAAGUGUGCUUAGUGAAAAUACCUGCAAAACCCAGUGUAAGUGUAGCACAACAAAUUGGAUUUUUUAAACUACGAGCAGUAAGAGACAACACCAGAGAAGAGUGAAAAAUGUAUAAUGAGAAGUGAAACAUCGAGUUCAUGUCACCCUAUUGGCCCCAUGUGAGGUUCAUGAGUUACAAAUCAAAGCAACCUAGCGCCUAUAUACACCUGAACAAACAGAUGAGGAAGCUCUGGUAAAAAAAGGACGAAGGGCGAGUCAAUCGCCAAAUCAAAAUGAUUGCCAUCAGAAACAGUUAGAAGUGUAUACAUAUUGGAUUAAGACUACUUAAGAAAUAGUACAUAGGGUUAUUAAAUGAGGAAUUGCUUUUGCAUUGUCUAAUUAACGCAUUACUGCCAAGUUCCUCCGAGGAUAAAAGCGCUAGUAGGAAGCAGCAAAUUUGCAACUUUGUCAAAGAGUGUAGAACGCAUAUAAACUAAGAACUGUAGAGCCAUGAUAGCUUCUAGGUAAUGCAUCCUACACGCACUCCACAUUUUGUGAACUGGGACAACCCAACCAUGGUGUAACUGAAAAGCUGUCAUUAGUUACACACAAGUAUAAUCAUAUGAGAGCAGCACCAUGAUAUAGCAUACCUGACUGAAUCCUGACUCAAAGGCCUCCAGCUGUCUUGUGAUUCCACUUUUAACUGUUGCCUCGACAACAAAAGAAACAUAUUCUUCCAAAUUCUCACCAGUUACCUGAAAAUAACUUAAGUAAUUUAGGGAAUACUUUAAUCUGCUGCGAACCCGGCAACGGAAAGUGGCACGGUCAUAUCACUUACAUUAUCUGAAGUACCCUCUGAAGAAAGCACAUAUUCUGGAUACCCUGGGACAGCAAAGUCAAUAACAAGAUCCUCAAUUUUACAACCUCGAUAAGACAAAUCAGAUGUGCUCUGGCAUUCCCUUGUCGAACAUGAUUCUAAAUAUUUCCUUUGACAAGUAAGCGCUUUAAACUCCAUAAGGGUCAUUGCCAGUUCAGGAUCAAAUGAAUUGAUAUCAUAUAUAUUAAGCUCCUAUCAUAGUAAAGACUAUUAGAUCGACAAACAGAAGAAAGCAUAAUAAACAUGAUAUAUUUCCGAGAAUAUAGGACCCAAAAUACCUGUCCUAGGAUAAGCUUGUAAAAUGCUUUGGAAAAUGGAAUGUCAAGAAUUCUGCCAUCCUUAAUUGCCUUUGCGAGAACCUGACCAAGGAGGUGAAACCUUUUAUUUACUUCCGAGAAGGAAGCACAGUCUACAGAAGCAGACCACGGUCGAGGAAACAGUCCAUUAGGCGCGACCACAGUCCGGGAACCAAUGUGAGCAUUGUUGGUGCCAGCUUCACAAGGAAGCUCACCCCUCCACAUGCCUAAACCAGACUUCUGAAACUCAUGACUUAUCAACGUAUAGAACUCCAUUGUAGGACCUAAACCUGUACCUACUUCUUCUUCAUAUUCUACUUCAAGCAGUGCACUACUCUUAGCAUAGGAAUGCAUCAUUUUCGCAGCUGAAGCCAGUAUAUCAUCACGAUCAACUUUGAACUUUUUCCGUGAAAUGGGUGAACCUCUUUCUGUUGAUAUAUUGCUACCACUUGUAUCUAUCAAAUGACCACGUUGCAUUGAUGAAGAACCAAAUGCUGUCAGUUGGAAAUACUUCCAUCUUGCCUCAAAGGAAAAUAAGAAAGGGCACGCAGACAUCAGUUCAGUGCACCAUAAAGGCAGACAGCGAGACCUUAAAACCAAGGGAUCAUGCAUCUGUUGCUCCAGUUUAUCUGUCAAUUUAGCACUAACAAACUCCUGCAGUGGAACUGAAGAAACAGAAGGCUUCAGAUCAUCAAGGUCAGUUAACUUCCCUUGAGCAAAAGCAUGGUUUCUCUCAUUAGACACGAGGUGAAACGAGUAUCGGUUUAAUCCUUCUAAAACUUUCAGCAUAAACAAUAUGUCAUACAAUGAAUUUGAUCUAUCAAGUUUGCAAGGGAUCUUCCCAAGCAACAAACUGCUGAAGAAAGGGAGUGCUUGCCACAUUAAACCAGUUUUACUGUCAUUUGUUGAUAUCGCUGCAUUAGAAAGGUUCUCAGGAGAAUCAUCUUUUUCUGGAUUUGCAGCUGUUCGAAAUGUUAUGUCAUGCACACUGCGCCAAAACUGGGUGUCCAAAAUUACAUCAGCUCCCGCAUUGAUCUGAUCUUGCAGGAUUGAUUGAUAUAGAGUAACAGAUCGGUCAAGCUCUUUUCCUUUCAGGCUAAAUACCAGUUUCGGCUGUACAGCACAAUCAGUCCCGGUCGACUUGUUUCGUUCUGGUUGACCUCCAGCUGCACAUCCAUUAUGGUAUUGAGGUUACCAGAACAAGAGACAGGUUGCAAAUUAGAGAAUAACAGCUAGUAAUUAAGUCAAAUCUAGACACACACUCACCGGAAGAUGGCGACCCUUUCUUCGAGCAUGGUUCUACAGAAGAAUCUUGAUUUUCUCUGAUGAUACCCUGAAAAGGAGCAAUUCUAGUCUUAAAACACGGAAACCUAGAAGUAUGAACAGCGAUAAACUGUGGAUUUAUUGGAUAAUUCUUUCCGGUAUCAACGGGUAUGUAUGAAGUAAUAGCCAAACCAUGCAUAACCUCUACGGCACUAAAAGAAAGUUAUAAAUAUAAGCAAGUUAGCACUCAGCCUAUUCAUAUUUCAAUAUAUCCCAACUGUUAAUGUUUCUUAAGAUUGCAAACAGAAUAAUACCUCUGAUGAAGGAGAAGAUUCUGGGCUGGAAUCUCUUUCCUGAGGGUCAUCUUCAGCACAUCUGCUCUCGAAAGCAACACUACUAGGUGGUGAUUCAGUAUUCUGAUCACUUGUGCAUGUACUGACUUUGGGCCACAGAAAUUGUUCAAUAGAAUGCAAGGAAGAAGAGAUUUCCAAAUUCACAGAAUUAUCAUAGCUUGAUAAGUUUGUUUCAUCUUCAUCCUUCUUGAAACGUACUCGGAUACAUGGACUAAUUGUUGAGUGGCGAAUAGGGAUAUCAGAAAUAUUGUUCCUUGGCUUGAAAUUGUGGCUCAUUAUCACUGGGAAGUUGUCAAGAGAAGUAAGAGCAUUCUGCAGUUUCCUUACAAGUAGUGUCAAGAGCAUAUCACCCCAACCUUGCUCCAUUCUUGAGAAACAAAUCCGGGCAAAUGACUGAAAUCUUUUCAGCACAGCACAAAAAUGUUCAGCAUUGUAAUCUUUAAGAUUGUCAUCCACCUGAAGGUAUUUGCCGUUAGACAGGUAAUUUAACAAAGAUUUGACCAGUCCACUCUCAAGGAAUUCAAACGUCGUCAUUGUUUCUCCUCCGUGAAGCUCCAUCAUCACCUCGCUCAAAAUGGUAGACAAGUGUUCUUCAUUUUGAAGACUGUCUUGGUUUAAUGACUUGUCAGCAGAGUCAUUUAGAACUGCACAGCAAGUUUUGAGCUUCUGCAAAAUCUCUGUUAACCCCAUCUCUGAAUUCACUGCUUCAGCUGUAAAGUAAGUUGUCUUCACAUGUCUUGCGAAAUUAAAAAGGUUCCCCUGCCCAAUCCUACAAGCCCUUGUUUCAGCAGAUUCAGAUUGGCGGGAAUCAAAUGCAUAGCAGAAACAUGUAGGUUUAUUUCUUAUAACAGGUUGAUUUUCUGACUGCUGAGUGUCAUCAGAGAGAGGGGGGCUGGACUUUGAGCAAUCCUCUUGCAUAAGAAGAGCCUCUACUGCAUUGACAACACCUUCUUUGAUAAAAGAUCCAAGGUAAGCAUCCGGAAGUUUUUGCAUGAGAAUCUCGAUAAUCUUCAGUGAUGAGAUUAGCACAUGAUGAUCCUUCCGGGACAAUAAACCAGCCAAGAAGCUGUCACAUAAUCACAGAAGUAAUAUAUUCAUUUAGACUCAGACAAUUAACGAGUUCAGUGAAAAUGUCUAUCAACUGUUAUGCAAGGAAUGCAGCCCUUCUUUUGCAGGUCGUGUUUACCUUGAUAUGUUUGUUUCCUUGAGCAACUCUUGAAGCAUUUCAGGUUUACUGAAGUAACAGAUGUUAUUUACAAUUGAAGAACAGCCAUAGCAAAUGUACGAAUUUGCACCAGAGUUGACUGCCUGCACAAAACAACAUACUCACUUCAUAUUUCAGAGCAAGAGCAUCCUUAAUGAGCUGUUAGUUCGUUAUUAUGAACAGACCUUGAUCAAGAUAGGAAGGAUAUCCGUAGAGAACUGACACAAGAACCCUGGUUCAUCGACAAUUAUUUUUUCUUUAGCAAGUACUAUAUAGGUGUCUUCAACAUCUCUUGCAGCAGAAGGAAUAAGCUGGAUUGCUAAUUUCAGAGCUUCAUUAACCUGGUAGGAUCAAGAAUUAAACUAUCAAAUCACUGGUUGGCAGCUAGUGUGAACUUCAGGGCUGCAUGUUGGUGUAAGAAGAGGGAUCAAGGGAUGUGAUCGGACAAGUUCUACUAUUAUAGUUACUUAUUUAUUGAUCAAUGAAAAUAAUGUUUCGCUUGUUCGGAAGUGGAAAGCAGUGCUUAUAAUACUCCCUCCGGUCCUUUUUAGUCUGCAUAUAAGUUGUGUCUGAAGUCAAAGUAUCUCUACUUUGACCAAACUUAUAGAAAAAAGUAUCAGCAUUCAUAAUGCCAAAUCAAUAUUGUAGAUUCAUUAUGAAACGUAGUUCCGUAGUAUAUAUAUUUGAUAUUAUAGAUAUUGAUAUUUUUUAAAUAAAUUCGGUCAAACUUUGCAAAGUUUGACUUGACACAAAUCUAAUACGCAGAGUAAAAGGACCGGAGGGAGUACAAGUUAAGUCACAAAGAAAUGGAUAGGACAAAUUCACAAUAAUGGUAGCAUAACUUAUAAGAUUACAGCCCAGUUCUUUUGGCUGCUUCUCCUAGAAUCUUGAAACCGUAUUUUUUUGACAAUCCUAGAGGUCCAAUUCUAAAGAUUCUGGGAGAAUCAGACAAAAGAACUGUGCCUACUAGUUCUUUUCUAGUAAAUAUACUGAUCAACUGAGCUUGGUGCAUGUAUUAGUAUUACUACUGGUAACGGCAGCCUCUGCUCAUGUAGGUUAUGGACCACCUGAUGUUGAAUUUACCAAGAAACAGAACUAUAGAAAUAUGGACUGGCAGUAAAGAAGCUAUUAAGCAACCAACCUGGUUAUUUUGGUUUUCCGAAGGCAGGUAUGGCAUCCCAUGGGAGAGAUCUGAACUGACCAAAAUCCCCCUUAUGGUGCUACCAACAUUCAACUCAAAGAGAGACUUCACUGCCACAAGUGAAGUACAGGCUAGCUUAGCAAGAAGCCCGAUCAAGUUCUGCAAUCACAACAAACUACAAUCAACUCCCUCAAAGACAUACUCAUGAUACGCAUAGAAGGUCAAGGGGAAGCAUACACUGCAAGUUGAUGGGUUAAGGGAAGUGAGCCCGCUGGCGUUGAUCAAAGGAAGGACCUUCUCUACCAGGCCCUGGUGGCAGAGCUGGUCAAGAAGCUCCACUGAACCACUAAAAGAGUCUACAAUGCUUAUCAAGCAAGUUGCAACCUUUUCAACAACCUGUGAUAUUAUAUCACCUGAAACAUUAGCAGAGCACUAUGUACAUGCCUAAUACAUGCAAACUCGGUUAAAUUAGUGGGCAACAAUACCAUCUUGUCCUCAGACUGCAGUAGAUUACACAGCAUUGGGAUCGAAUCCAUCACAAACUGGGAGCAAUCUGCUGGGACCUUCUUACAGGCAUUUGCAACAGCCGAGACAGCAACCCUCUGAACCAUCCAAGCAGGCAUCCAAUUAGCGAAUGCAGUAGAUUCUCGGCACCAAAAGAUCGAAUAUCUGCAAUUCUAACCUGAAUACUUGCAGAGAAGAAGUCAAUGUACGCCAGCACGGCAGUUAUCAUGCCUGCCUGCAAGCACUGCGCCGGCUGCCGCAGCGAUAUCUUCUCAAACGCCUGCAAGCACUGCUCAUACAAACAGAAGAAGCGUGAUUGAUCGCGUAAAGCGCUUGGUUCAGUUCAAUGUGAUGGUCUGGCCGGGUUUUCAGGGCUGCUCCGUUACCUGCUCGGCCACAUCAAGGUACUCGAUCGCGAGGAGGCGGGAGCAGAGCACGGGGAGCAGGCCGUGGCGGACGACGGCGUCGGCGGCGCGUGGCAUGGCGUCGCAGAGGUAGGUGAUGGCGCGCACGGCGAGCAGCAUCUCGUCGGGGCUGGCGACCUCAGCGCCGGCCAGGCGCACGAGCGCCCGCGCGGCGGACUCGACGGGGAAGUAGCCCCCAGCGUCCUCGGUGCAGAAGGAGAGCGCCUCGCAGAGCUCCGUGAGCGACGCGAGCAGCGCGCCUCCCCCGGCGCCCUCCGAGGCGACGGCCGCCACCAUCCGGCGGAACUUGCCGCUCCCGGGCCCCCCGUCCCCAUCGGACUCACACGACGACCCGCCAUCCCCGUCCCCGUCCCCAUCGUCUCCGUCCACAUCGGCAUCGGCAUCGGCGUCGGCCUCGGCGGCGUGGCCGGACGACGAGGUGUCCAUGUCGGAGGCGGCCUGCUCCGGCGGCGCUGGCACGGCCGCGGCCACAGCGGCGGCGGCGGAAGUCGAGGGCUCGGCGGUGCAGGGGCGCUUAUCGGCGGGGGGCUCGGCCUCGCCGGAGCCGCCGGGGUCGGAGUCGGGGCGCUUCCGGCAGCGAUCCAUCGGCGCGCGCGCUUACCUCAGGCCCCCGGGCGCGGACGUAAGCCAGCAGCACAGCGGCAGUCCUCGCUCCGUCCCAACAACGAACACGAUCGAUCGGAGAGGGGAAUCGGGGGGGAUAUGAGUUGAGAGACGUGCGGGGUGGGGAGGGGGGGCGGGUUUUAAGUCUGGUUUACCCCUCUCCCCCUCUAUCUCGAUCGAUCGGGUUUAAAAUCCGGGAGAUUUUUAACCGAUUUGGUGCGGUUUCUGGGGGAGAUUCCCCGUGUUUAUCUGGGAGUUCCGCACCGCCAUUGUGUGCGCGGAGGGAGGGCGGGUGGGUGGAGGGCAGUAAUGGAACUGCGCGCCGCGGCCUGGGCUGGGCUUGCGGUUUGGUUUGGUUUGGUUUGGUUUGGGGUUUGCUUUUGGACUUUUGGUGUAGCGUCGUCCAUUGGCGGGGCGAGGCUUACCUGGGAAGGCACUGCCCGUGCGUGCUUUGUUAAUUGCGGAUUACGUGGAGGCCGGAUGGAUAGAUAGGCUCCGGCUCCGAGCGAGGACGGGGUUUCUUCGGAUGCUUUAAUUAGGUCGCUUUAUAUCAUCCCUAGCAGAUCUAGUAAAAGGCUAAAAAAAAUUAAAUUGUUUGUAUUGCUUACCACGUAUGUCACGUGGUGGUAAAAGGCUAAACGGUAAAAGAAUCAUAUUUUACAGUUUUGGACGAAAACAAUUUCAUAUCCCGCAAAACGGCCGGUACUGGAAAAAAAAAAUCCAAGUCCCUAAAACAAACCGCGUGCCCGUGAUAUAUCUAUCUAGUCCCCUAGUUUACCUAGGGUUUUCCAGUCCUCUCGGCGGCCCGCCGCCCUGAGUUCCUCCUGUCAGUAAAGACAACCGAUCGCGCUCCCUUCAAUCCCCAUCGACCUCCUCGCAUCACUAGGACUGCCCCAAGUCCUUGUUUGUGUCUCUGGUUGCUGAGGCUGAAGGUUCCCCUUCAGGUGAUAGAUCAAGACUUUGUGUGAGAUGGCUUUUUCUGCGGAAGGAUCGAGAUCGAAGAGCCUGGUGGAUGAAGAUCCAAGCAAGCUCCUGGAACUGUGCAUUUGCAGGAUGACGAAAUUGACGAACUAAUCUGGGAAGAUGAAGUUGAUACGACCGAGGAGAAGCCGAAGUGGCUAGCCUUGGCGAAACUGCUGACGGAGAAAAGCUUCAGUCAGAGUGCGCUGAUAGGAGACAUGCGAGCGGCAUGGACCCUGCUCAGGAGGUAGUCUGGAGGAGGAUAAAUCCAAACCAGUUCUCAAUUCAGUUCAAUUGUUUGGCGGAUUGGAAUAAGAUGCAUCAAGGACCUUGGGAUCUCAAAGGUUGUGCCCUCUUGUUGAUUGAAUAUGAUGGCUUUACAAAACCUGAGAAAGUGAAGCUAGAUCGACUUGAGACGUGGUGUCAGAUCCGCAAACUCCCUGACGGGGUUCUGAAGAACAAACCUUUCCUUGAAAAUCUUGUGAAACGCAUAGGUGAAGUGCAGGAAGUUCAUAUUACACUUCCUAACGGAUUUGUGGCGAGUUCAUCCGUAUCAGAGUAAAGCUUGAUGUAAACAAGAAACUCACACGAUUUGUUGGAUUCACAGUAAAAGGUGAGAUGGAAUUCUAUCAAGUUCAGUUUGAAAAGCUUCCCGUUUUCUGCCACGCCUGCGGGAAGAUGGGACACUGGCAUGAGGAGUGUGGUACUGGGGAACACAACAAAUCAAAGUUUGAAUGGGGAUCUUUUAUCAUGGCUCCAAGAAGGGGGAGAGGUGGUGGUCGUGGUACUGGUGGUGGCCGUGCUUCCGGUACUAGACGUGGAUACAUGGGUGAAAGAGGAGGUGGACGGUCAGGCAGAGGCAUGGAGGGGAGGUUUGGUGACAGGGCUUGGCGCUGGAACUAUGACCCUGCCAUGAAUCAAUAUGGUCAUGAGGGUAUGGAUCUUGAUGAAACUGGUAAGGAAGGGAACAAGUCGGAUGACGGUAAAGCUAUUGUGGUGUGCAACACGGAAAAUCAAACCUUGCUAAGCAAACGGCAAGCUGAGGAUAGAACAGCAGUGCCCCCAAGUUCUGGAUUACCUAAUGGGGUGGGGUGGUUGCAAACACUGUAGUUCAAUUUGAACCAACACCUUUAGGGAUCUCAGUGUUCAGAAGCAUUCUCGAUAAUUGUAAUCUCUCUGGUGUUGGUUUUGUGGGAGAAAAAUUCACAUGGCAUGGGGGGAUACGUGAGCCGCUUGACCGGGCUCUCUCAAAUGAUCUAUGGAACGAGAAGUUUGGAUCUACGGUUCUACGUAAUCUUGAUUAUAGCAGGUCCGACCACCGUCUUAUACUCAUGAACCUUGAUGAGGGGCUGAUAUGGAUAAUCAUGGACCAUCAGUAUUGCGUUUUGAGGCCAAGUGGUUGAAAGAGGUUUAGUUUAGGCAUGUGGUGGAAGAGGCCUGGGAACAGGCGGGGGCCAGAUUUUCAAAUGCUAGUUUGGCGGGAAAACUUGCAUGGGUACAUGUUUACUUGCAUAAAUGGGAUCGUACAAUUUUGCAAAAAAGAAGAGGAUCAAGUCAGCACAGAAAGAACUAGAACAGGCUAUCAGUGGUACUUUAGAUGACCAAAGUGUCAAGAGGGAGAAGGAACUAGCUGCUGAAAUUGAAUGGUUACUUGAGCAAGAGGAGAUACAUUAUGCACAAAGUAGAGUGGAUUGGUUAAAGUUUGGAGAUAGAAACACUGUUUAUUUCAAGAAUUUUGCCUCUACUAGACGUAAAAGAAAUAUGAUCAAGAAACUGAGAGGGGAUAACGGGGUCAGGUUGGAAGGGAGCACGGCUCUAAACCCACAUAUAUCACAUUAUUUUGAGGGGCUUUUUGCCUCGGAUAUGAAUGGAACCGAUCCUGGCUUACUUAACAAGGUGACCCCGCAAGUGUCAGAUGCUAUGAAUCGCUCAUUAUUGCAGCCAUAUUCGGCUGAAGAGGUGAAAAAAAGCUCUAUUUUCCAUAGGAGACAUGAAAGCUCCGGGUACAGAUGGCUUGCAUGCGAUCUUUUUUUUAAGUGUUGGCAUCUGUUGGGCGACUCGAUGACAGGAGAAGUUUUGGAUGCUAUCAAUAACAAACAAAUCCCUGAAGGUUGGAAUGACAUUGUGAUAGUUCUCAUGCCGAAAGUGGAUGAUCCAGAAUUAAUUACGCAAUAUAGGCCCAUCAGCUUGUGUAACGUGUUGUAUAAGGUAAUAUCCAAAAUGAUCGCUCUACAUCUUAAACAGGUGUUGGAUGAUAUUAUUUCUCGAGUACAGAGUGCCUUUGUUCCUGGAAGACUGAUUACUGAUAACAUAUUGUUGGCCUAUGAAAGUAUCCAUGCUAUUAAAAAUAAGAAGGGGAAAUGGGGUUAUUGUGCGGUAAAGCUGGACAUGCAUAAAGCUUAUGACUGAGUAGAAUUGCAAUUCCUACAGGAUAUGAUGAUUCAAUUAGGUUUUCAUCAAGAGUUUGUGGAGCUUCUAAUGGCGUGUGUACAAUCUAUAAAAUAUAAGGUGAGGUUUAAUAAUCAAGAAACAAACUCUUUCACCCAGAGAGGGGGCUUUGCCAGGGAGAUUCUCUCUCCCCAUACCUGUUUCUGAUUUGUGCUGAGGGCUUAUCUAGUUUGUUGUCUCAUAAAGAGGAGGUUCGUGGCAUAGAAGGUUUCAGGGUUUGCAGAAAUGCACCAUCAGUUUCCCAUUUAUUAUUUGCUGAUGAUUCCCUUGUCCUUAUGAAAGCAGAUAUGAAUAAUGCAACCUCAUUGAGACAGGUACUGGAGCUGUAUUGUGCAAGUUCUGGACAGCUUGUGAGUGAAGCAAAAUGCAGCAUAUAGUUUAGUAAUGUAAGUGUUGAAACAAAGGCCAAUAUAUGUACUGAACUAAAUAUUAUGUCAGAAGCUCUUUCUGACAAGUAUUUAGGAUUACCUGCAAUGGUGGGAGUAGACUGAAGUGACAGUUUUGUUCAUUUACUCGAAAGGAUCAUUGCUAGGCUAAAAAGUUGGAACGAAAAGUUUUUAUCCAUGGGGGGGAGGAAAUUUUGCUAAAAGCAGUCAUGCAAUCUAUUCCUGUCUUCGCUGUGUCUAUUUUCAAUAUCCCCAAGAAAUCAUGUAAGGAGAUGAUUGAUGCAAUGUCUGAAUUUUGGUGGGGUGGCUCUGAGAACACAAAACAUAUGCAUUGGAUGGCUUGGUGGAGGAUGUGCAUUUCCAGGAGGGGUGGAGGUAUGGGGUUUCGUGAUCUACAUUCUUUUAAUCUAACAAUGCUAGCAAAACAGUCAUGGAGACUUAUUUCUACUCCUGAUUCAUUUGUGCACAAGUACUGAAAUCUAAACAUUUCCCAAAUUGUUUAUUACUCAAACUGGCCCAAAGAAGGGGUCCAACUUUACCUGGCAAAGCAUUGUGGCGGGUCCGAACACUUUCCGAAGAGCACAUGCAUGGCGUGUUGGUACGGGUGAGAUGAUUAAUAUUUGGGAGGAUCAUUGGGUGCCAGGUAGUCCUUCUCGUAUGAUACAGACGCCAAAGGGGAAUAUUAUGCUACAGUAUGUAAACGAGCUAAUCAGUCCGGUUAGUGGUCUCUGGGAUGAGGUGUUGUUGAGAGAUAUAUUCUCUCCCAUUGACGUUGACAGAAUUCUUAAGAUUACACUAAGUGAACACGUAGGAGAUGUUGGAAAUAUGCCCUGGAGGCAAUAAUAAAAUGGUUAUUAUUAUAUUUCCUUGUUCAUGAUAAUCGUCUAUUGUUCAUGUUAUAAUUGUGUUAUCCGGAAAUCGUAAUACAUGUGCGAACACAUAGACCAUAACAUGUCCCUAGUGAGCCUCUAGUUGACUAGCUCGUUGAUCAAUAGAUGGUUACGGUUUCCUGACCAUGGACAUUGGAUGUCAUUGAUAACGGGAUCACAUCAUUAGGAGAAUGAUGUGAUGGACAAGACCCAAUCCUAAGCAUAGCACUAGAUCGUGUAGUUCGUUUGCUAAAGCUUUUCUAAUGUCAAGUAUCAUUUCCUUAGACCAUGAGAUCGUGCAACUCCCGGAUACCGUGGGAAUGCUUUGGGUGUACCAAACGUCACAACGUAACUGGGUGGCUAUAAAGGUGCACUACAGGUAUCUCCGAAAUCGGAUCGAGACUGGGAUUUGUCACUCCGUAUGACGGAGAGGUAUCUCUGGGCCCACUCGGUAAUGCAUCAUCAUAAUGAGCUCAAUGUAACUAAGUACUUAGUCACGGAUCAUGCAUUACGGAAUGAGUAAAGUGACUUGCCGGUAACGAGAUUGAACGAGGUAUUGGGAUACCGACGAUCGAAUCUCGGGCAAGUAACGUACCGAUUGACAAAGGGAAUUGUAUACGGGAUUGCUUGAAUCCUCGACAUCGUGGUUCAUCCGAUGAGAUCAUCGUGGAACGUGUGGGAGCCAACAUGGGUAUCCAGAUCCCGCUAUUGGUUAUUGGCUAGAGAGGUGUCUCGGUCAUGUCUGCAUGAUUCCCGAACCCGUAGGGUCUACACACUUAAGGUUCGAUGACGCUAGGGUUAUAAGGAAGGUUUGUAUGUGAUUACCGAAUGUUGUUCGGAGUCCCAGAUGAGAUCCUGGACGUCACGAGGAGUUCCGUAUUGGUCCGGAGGUGAAGAUUUAUAUAUGGGAAGUCAUCAUACGGUCACCGGAAAUAUUCGGAGGUAUACCGGUAUUGUACCGGGACCACCGGAGGGGUUCCGGGAGUCCACCUGCCCCGGAGGGCCCUAUGGGCUAUAGGUGGAAGGGAACCAGCCCCUAAGUGGGCUGGGCGCCAUCCCCCUAGGGCCCAUGCGCCUAGGGUUGGGAGGAACCCUAAAAGGGGGCGCCCCCUUGCUUGGGGGGCAAGCCCCCUCCCCCUUGGCCGUCGCCCCCCCUCUAGAUCUCAUCUAGAGGGGCCGGCCCCCUUCCCCCUUUUCCCUAUAAAUAGAGGGGUGGAGGGAGGGCUGCAGCACCACAUCCAAGGCGCAGCCCCUCCCCUCCCCAACACCUCUCCUCCUCCGCGUGAGCUUGGCGAAGCCCUGCCGGAGAACUGCCACUCCACCACCACCACGCCGUCGUGCUGCUGUUGGAGCCUUCUUCCUCAACCUCUCCCUCCUCCUUGCUGGACCAAGGCGCGGGAGACGUCACCGGGCUGCACGUGUGUUGAACGAGGAGGCGCCGUUGUUCGGCGCUUGGAUCGGAAUCAACCGCGAUCUGAAUCGCUACGAGUACGACUCCCUCAUCUGCGUUCUUGUAACGCUUCCGUCUCGCGAUCUUCAACGGUAUGAAGAUGCACUUCCCUCUCUCUCGUUGCUAGUUACUCCAUAGAUUGAUCUUGGUGAUGCGUAGAAAUUUUUUAAUUUCUGCAACGAUCCCCAACAGGAGAGGAUUUCAUUGCCUGGCAUUAUACAAAAUCCUAUACUUUCUCCGUACGAUUUGCUUACUAUAUUGAAUGGGACCAUUCCCAUCGACAUAGACUAACUCUUGAAGAUGGCUAGAGUACAUCAAGGCGCAACCCUGUGUGGGACAUUUUAUGGAAAUUACAAGUGCCAAACAAAGUUAAAAUCUUUGGGUCGAAGGCUUUAGAUGGCAUGAUUCCAGGUUUUGCUAUUCUUGCUAAUAGGCAUAUUCCAAUUACUGCCCAGUGUCCUGUAUGUGAAAGUGGCCAUGAAGAUAUAAAACAUCUUAUGUUCACUUGUGUUCGUGAAAAAACAGUUUGGAAUUCUUUGGGGUUGCUGCAGUAUAUCAAUGAAGUUGUUCCAGUGGACCGAUCGGGUUCAGUCAUUUUGGAAGAAAUACUUUGACGGCCACAAAAUAAUUCUCUGGUGAUCAAGGGGGGUUUGAAGGAACUAAUCCUAGUGGGGGCAUGGUAUAUCUGGUGGCAAAGAAGGGAGUAUGUUAAGGGUCAACGUGUGGCAGAACCAGCUAGCUCAGCUUUCUCAAUUCAAGCCUUGACAUGUAAUUUUAUGGGAGCACAACUUAACUAUGAACCUCGUGAGAUCGCUUGGUCUAAGCCACCAGGUAAUACAUAUAAACUAAAUGUGGACGCUGCUUUCUCUGAAAAUGGAUAUGGAGGUGCGGGCGCUGUGGUACGCAACGACAGGGGAGAGGCGAACGCGGGUGCAUGAUGGCCGCUGCAGAAUCUUCUUGACGCGGCAAAUGCUGAAGAUACGACUCUCUUGAAAGGAUUAUGUUUAAUUGAGACUCUGGAUUGUGCUCCAGUUAUCAUAGAAUCUGACUCGUUGGAGCUUGUGGAAGCCUUCAAGGGAGUAAUUCAAGUCUGGUCCCCGUAUUUGGCGAUUCUUGCAGAUUGUUUCCAGGUUGCCUACAGGAUUGGCUCAAUUUCAAUUCAACACUGCUCCAGGGAGGCAAAUUUCGUGGCGCAUAAUUUAGCUAAACAUGCUUUUGUUUCUAAUUCUGCCGUUUUUGGGAUGAUGAUCCCCCUAGUUUCAUUAUCCCGGCCGUAAUGAAUGAUGUAUCUUUGUUUGAAUUGCAAUAAAACGCACCAUGAAGGCUUUCCCUGAAAAAACACGCGUCCCAUGAUAUCCAACUUUGGAGUCGAUUUUUAGGGUGAACUGAAAAACCAUGUGAUGGUUGGUGGGAGGGAAAUUUCUGUUGGAAAUAUGCCCUAGAGGCAAUAAUAAAUGGUUAUUAUUAUAUUUCUUUGUUCAUGAUAAUCGUCUAUUGUUCAUGCUAUAAUUGUAUUGUCCGGAAAUCGUAAUACAUGUGUGAAUGCAUAGACCACAACAUGUCCCUAGUAAGCCUCUAGUUGACUAGCUCGUUGAUCAACAGAUAGUCAUGGUUUCUGACUAUGGACAUUGGAUGUCAUUGAUAACGGGAUCACAUCAUUAGGAGAAUGAUGUGAUGGACAAGACCCAAUCCUAAGCAUAGCAUAAAAGAUCGUGUAGUUUCGUUUGCUAGAGCUUUUCCAAUGUCAAGUAUCUUUUCCUUAGACCAUGAGAUUGUGCAACUCCCGGAUACCGUAGGAGUGCUUUGGGUGUGCCAAACGUCACAACGUAACUGGGUGACUAUAAAGGUGCACUACGGGUAUCUCCGAAAGUGUCUGUUGGGUUGGCAUGGAUCGAGACUGGGAUUUGUCACUCCGUGUGACGGAGAGGUAUCUCUGGGCCCACUCGGUAAUGCAUCAUCAUAAUGAGCUCAAUGUGACUAAGGGUUAGUCACGGGAUCAUGCAUUGUGGUACGAGUAAAGAGACUUGCCGGUAACGAGAUUGAACAAGGUAUUGGGAUACCGACGAUCGAAUCUCGGGCAAGUAACAUACCGAUUAACAAAGGGAAUUGCAUACGGGGUUGAUUGAAUCCUCGACACCGUGGUUCAUCCGAUGAGAUCAUCGUGGAACAUGUGGGAGCCAACAUGGGUAUCCAGAUCCCGCUGUUGGUUAUUGACCGGAGAGGCGUCUCGGUCAUGUCUGCUUGUCUCCUGAACCCGUAGGGUCUACACACUUAAGGUUCGGUGACGCUAGGGUUAUAGAGAUAUGUGUAUGCGGAAACCCGAAAGUUGUUCGGAGUCCCGGAUGAGAUCCCAGACGUCACGAGAGGUUCCGGAAUGGUCCGGAGGUGAAGAAUUAUAUAUAGGAAGUCAAGUUUCGGCCAUCGGGAAAGUUUUGGGGGUUACCGGUAUUGUACCGGGACCACCGGAAGGGUCCCGGGGGUCCACCGGGUGGGGCCACCUAUCCCGGAGGGCCCCGUGGGCUGAAGUGGGAAGGGAACCAGCCCCUAGUGGGCUGGGCGCCCCCCCAUGGGCCUCCCCCCAUGCGCCUAGGGUUGGGAACCCUAGGGUGGGGAGGGCUUCCCACUUGCCUUGGGGGGCAAGGCACCCCCUUUCCCCCUUUGGCCGCCGCCCCCCCCCCCCUUGAGAUCCCAUCUCCAGGGCCGGCGCCCCCCCAGGGGGCCUAUAUAAAGGGGGGGAGGGCAGCAACAAGACAGCCUUGGGCGCCUCCCUCCUCCCCUGCUACACCUCUUCGUCUCGCAGAAGCUCGGCGAAGCCCUGCCGAGACCCGCUACAUCCACCACCACGCCGUCGUGCUGCUGGAUCUCCAUCAACCUCUCCUUCCCCCUUGCUGGAUCAAGAAGGAGGAGACGUCGCUGCACCGUACGUGUGUUGAACGCGGAGGUGCCGUCCGUUCGGCACUCGGUCAUCGGUGAUUUGGAUCACGGCGAGUACGACUCCGUCAUCCACGUUCAUUGGAACGCUUCCGCUCGCGAUCUACAAGGGUAUGUAGAUGCACUCCUUUCCCCUCGUUGCUAGUAUACUCCAUAGAUGCAUCUUGGUGAGCGUAGGAAAAUUUUAAAUUAUGCUACGAUUCCCAACAGUGGCAUCAUGAGCCAGGCCUAUGCGUAGUUACUAUGCACGAGUAGAACACAAAGCAGUUGUGGGUGUUGAGUUUGCCAAUUCUUCUUGCCGCUACUAGUCUUUUCUUGUUUCGGCGGUAUUGUAGGAUGAAGCGGCCCGGUCCGACCUUACACGUACGCUUACGUGAGACAGGUUCCACCGAUUGACAUGCACUAGUUGCAUAAGGUGGCUAGCGGGUGUCUGUCUCUCCUACUUUAGUCGGAACGGAUUCGAUGAAAAGGGUCCUUAUGAAGGGUAAAUAGAAAUUGGCAAAUCACAUUGUGGUCAUACGUAGGUAAGAAACGUUCUUGCUAGAAACCUAUAAACCACGUAAAAACUUGCAACAACAAUUAGAGGACGUCUAACUUGUUUUUGCAGCAAGUGCUAUGUGAUGUGAUAUGGCCAGAAGAUGUGAUGAAUGAUAUAUGUGAUGUAUGAGAUUGAUCAUAUUCUUGUAAUAGGAAUCACGACUUGCAUGUCGAUGAGUAUGACAACCGGCAGGAGCCAUAGGAGUUGUCUUUAUUAUUUUACAUGACCUGCGUGUCAUUGAAUAACGCCAUGUAAAUUACUUUACUUUGUUGCUAAACGCGUUAGCCGUAGAAGUAGAAGUAAUCGUUGGCGUGACGACUUCAUGAAGACACAAUGAUGGAGAUCAGGAUGAUGGAGAUCAUGGUGUCAUGCCGGUGACGAAGAUGAUCAUGGUGCCCCGAAGAUGGAGAUCAAAGGAGCAUAAUGAUAUUGGCCAUAUCAUGUCACUAUUUGAUUGCAUGUGAUGUUUAUCAUGUUUUUGCAUCUUAUUUUCUUAGAACGACGGUAGUAAGUAAGAUGAUCCCUUAUAAUAAUUUCAAGAAAGUGUUCACCCUAACUGUGCACCGUUGCGAAGGUUCGUUGUUUCGAAGCACCACGUGAUGAUCGGGUGUGAUAGAUUCUAACGUUCGAAUACAACGGGUGUUGACGAGCCUAGCAUGUACAGACAUGGCCUCGGAACACACGCAAUACACUUAGGUUGACUUGACGAGCCUAGCAUGUACAGACAUGGCCUCGGAACACGGAGGACCGAAAGGUUGAGCAUGAGUCGUAUAGAAGAUACGAUCAACAUGGAGAUGUUCACCGAUCUUGACUAGUCCGUCUCACGUGAUGAUCGGACACGGCCUAGUUAAACUCGGAUCAUGUUUCACUUAGAUGACUAGAGGGAUGUCUAUCUGAGUGGGAGUUCAUUAAAUAAUUUGAUUAGAUGAACUUAAUUAUCAUGAACUUAGUCUAAAAUCUUUACACUAUGUCUUGUAGAUCAAAUGGCCAACGUUGUCCUCAAUUUCAACGCGUUCCUAGAGAAAACCAAGCUAAAAGAUGAUGGCAGCAACUAUACGGACUGGGUCCGGAACCUGAGGAUCAUCCUCAUAGUAGCCAAGAAAGAUUAUGUCCUAGAAGCACCGCUAGGUGAUGCACCAAUCCCACAGAACCAAGACGUUAUGAACGCUUGGCAGCAGCGUGCUGAUGAUUACUCCCUCGUUCAGUGCGGCAUGCUUUACAGCCUAGAACCGGGUCUCCAAAAGCGUUUUGAGAAACAUGGAGCAUAUGAGAUGUUCGAGGAGCUGAAAUUGGUUUUCCAAGCUCAUGCUCGGGUCGAGAGAUAUGAAGUCUCCGACAAGUUCUUCAGCUGUAAAAUGGAGGAGAACAGUUCUGUUAGUGAGCACAUACUCAGAAUGUCUGGGUUGCAUAACUGCUUGUCUCAGCUGGGAGUCAAUCUCCCGGAUGACGCGGUCAUUGACAGAAUCCUCCAGUCGCUUCCACCAAGCUACAAGAGCUUUGUGAUGAACUUCAAUAUGCAGGGGAUGGAAAAAACCAUUCCCGAGGUAUAUUUAAUGCUGAAAUCAGCAGAGGUGGAGAUCAGAAAAGAACAUCAAGUGUUGAUGGUGAAUAAAACCACUAAGUUCAAGAAGGGCAAGGGUAAGAAGAACUUCAAGAAGGACGGCAAGGGAGUUGCCGCGCCCGGUAAGCCAGUUGCCGGGAAGAAGUCAAGGAAUGGACCCAAGCCCGAGACUGAGUGCUUUUAUUGCAAGGGAAGUGGUCACUGGAAGCGGAACUGCCCCAAAUACUUAGCGGACAAGAAGAAGGCCGGCAACACCAAAGGUAUAUGUGAUAUACAUGUAAUUGAUGUGUACCUUACCAGUACUCGUAGUAGCUCCUGGGUAUUUGAUACCGGUGUGGUUGCUCAUAUUUGUAACUCAAAACAGGAACUACGGAAUAGACGGAGACUGGCAAAGGACGAGGUGACGAUGCGCGUCGGGAAUGGUUCCAAGGUCGAUGUGAUCGCCGUCGGCACGCUACCUCUGCAUCUACCCACGGGAUUAGUUUUAAACCUCAAUAAUUGUUAUUUAGUACCAGCUUUGAGCAUGAACAUUGUAUCUGGAUCUCGUUUAAUUCGAGAUGGCUACUCAUUUAAAUCCGAGAAUAAUGGUUGUUCUAUUUAUUUGAGAGAUAUGUUUUAUGGUCAUGCCCCGCUGGUCAAUGGUUUAUUUUUGAUGAAUCUCGAACGUGAUGUUACACAUGUUCAUAGUGUGAAUACCAAAAGAUGUAAAGUUGAUAACGAUAGUCCCACAUACUUGUGGCACUGCCGCCUUGGUCACAUUGGUGUCAAGCGCAUGAAGAAGCUCCAUGCAGAUGGACUUUUGGAGUCUCUUGAUUACGAAUCAUUUGACACGUGCGAACCAUGCCUCAUGGGUAAGAUGACCAAGACUCCGUUCUCCGGAACAAUGGAGCGAGCAACCAACUUAUUGGAAAUCAUACAUACCGAUGUGUGCGGUCCAAUGAGUGUUGAGGCUCGCGGAGGAUAUCGUUAUGUUCUCACUAUCACUGAUGAUUUAAGUAGAUAUGGGUAUGUAUACCUAAUGAAACACAAGUCUGAAACCUUUGAAAAGUUCAAGGAAUUUCAGAGUGAAGUCGAGAAUCAACGUGACAGGAAAAUAAAAUUCUUACGAUCAGAUCGUGGUGGAGAAUAUUUAAGUCACGAAUUUGGUACACACUUAAGGAAAUGUGGAAUAGUUUCACAACUCACGCCGCCUGGAACACCUCAGAGAAAUGGUGUGUCCGAACGUCGUAAUCGCACUCUAUUGGAUAUGGUGCGAUCUAUGAUGUCUCUUACCGAUUUACCGCUCUCAUUUUGGGGUUAUGCUUUAGAGACUGCCGCAUUCACUUUAAAUAGGGCUCCGUCGAAAUCCGUUGAGACGACACCGUAUGAAUUAUGGUUUGGGAAGAAACCUAAGCUGUCGUUUCUAAAAGUUUGGGGAUGCGAUGCUUAUGUCAAGAAACUUCAACCUGAAAAGCUCGAACCCAAAUCGGAAAAAUGCGUCUUCAUAGGAUACCCUAAGGAAACUAUUGGGUACACCUUCUACCUCAGAUCCGAAGGCAAGAUCUUCGUUGCCAAGAAUGGGUCCUUUCUAGAGAAGGAGUUUCUCUCGAAAGAAUUGAGUGGGAGGAAAGUGGAACUUGAUGAGGUGAUAGUCACCCCUUCCGAACCGGAAAGUAGCGCAGCGCGGGAAAAUGUUCCUGUGGUGCCUACACCGACUGGGGAGGAAGUUAAUGAUGAUGAUCAUGAAGCUUCGGAUCAAGUUACUGAACUUCGUAGGUCCACAAGGACACGUUCCGCACCAGAGUGGUACGGCAACCCUGUCCUGGAAAUCAUGUUGUUAGACAACGGUGAACCUUCAAACUAUGAAGAAGCGAUGGCGGGCCCGGAUUCCGACAAAUGGCUAGAAGCCAUGAAAUCCGAGAUAGAAUCCAUGUAUGAAAACAAAGUAUGGACUUUGACUGACUUGCCCGAUGAGCGGCGAGCCAUAGAAAACAAAUGGAUCUUUAAGAAGAAGACGGACGCGGAUGGUAAUGUGAGCAUCUACAAAGCUCGACUUGUCGCUAAGGGUUAUCGACAAGUUCAAGGGGUUGACUACGAUGAGACUUUCUCACCCGUAGCGAAGCUGAAGUCCGUCUGAAUCAUGUUAGCAAUUGCUGCAUACUAUGAUUAUGAGAUAUGGAAGAUGGACGUCAAAACGGCAUUCCUUAACGGCUUCCUUAAGGAAGAGUUGUAUAUGAUGCAGCCGGAAGGUUUUGUCGAUCCUAAGAAUGCUAACAAAGUAUGCAAGCUCCAACGCUCAAUCUAUGGGCUGGUGCAAGCAUCUCGGAGUUGGAACAUUCGCUUUGAUGAGAUGAUCAAAGCGUUUGGGUUUACACAGACUUAUGGAGAAGCCUGUGUUUACAAGAAAGUGAGUGGGAGCUCUGUAGCAUUUCUCAUAUUAUAUGUGGAUGAAAUACUAUGAUGGGAAAUGAUAUAGAAUUCUUGGAAAGUAUAAAGGCCUAUUUGAAUAAGUGUUUUUCAAUGAAGGACCUUGGAGAAGCUGCUUAUAUAUUAGGCAUCAAGAUCUAUAGGGAUAGAUCAAGACGCCUCAUUGGUCUUUCACAGAGUACAUACCUUGACAAGAUAUUGAAGAAGUUCAAUAUGGAUCAGUCCAAGAAGGGGUUCUUGCCUGUAUUGCAAGGUGUGCAGUUGAGCACGGCUCAAUGCCCGACCACGGCAGAAGAUAGAGAAAAGAUGAGUGUGAUCCCCUAUGCCUCGGCCAUAGGGUCUAUUAUGUAUGCCAUGCUGUGUACCAGACCUGAUGUAAACCUUGCCGUAAGUUUGGUAGGAAGGUACCAAAGUAAUCCCGGCAUGGAACACUAGACAGCGGUCAAGAAUAUCCUGAAGUACCUGAAGAGGACUAAGGAUAUGUUUCUCGUUUAUGGAGGUGACGAAGAUCUUGACUAGUCCGUCUCACGUGAUGAUCGGACACGGCCUAGUUAACUCGGAUCAUGUUUCACUUAGAUGACUAGAGGGAUGUCUAUCUGAGUGGGAGUUCAUUGAAUAAUUUGAUUAUAUGAACUUAAUUAUCAUGAACUUAGUCUAAAAUCUUUACAAUAUGUCUUGUAGAUCAAAUGGCCCACGUUGUCCUCAACUUCAACGCGUUCCUAGAGAAAACCAAGCUGAAAGAUGAUGGCAGCAACUAUACGGACUGGGUCCGGAACCUGAGGAUCAUCCUCAUAGCAGCCAAGAAAGAUUAUGUCCUAGAAGCACCGCUAGGUGAAGCACCAAUCCUAGAGAACCAAGACGUUAUGAACGCUUGGCAAUCACGUGCUGAUGAUUACUCCCUCGUUCAGUGCGGCAUGCUUUACAGCUUAGAACCGGGGCUCCAAAAGCGUUUUGAGAAGCAUGGAGCAUAUGAGAUGUUCGAAGAGCUGAAAAUGGUUUUCCAAGCUCAUGCCCGGGUCGAGAGAUAUGAAGUCUCUGACAAGUUCUUCAGCUGUAAAAUGGAGGAGAAUAGUUCUGUUAGUGAGCACAUACUCAGAAUGUCUGGGUUACACAACCGCUUGUCUCAGCUGGGAGUUAAUCUCCCGGAUGACGCGGUCAUUGACAGAAUCCUUCAGUCGCUUCCACCAAGCUACAAGAGCUUUGUGAUGAACUUCAAUAUGCAGGGGAUGGAAAAGACCAUUCCUGAGGUAUAUUCGAUGCUGAAAUCAGCGGAGGUGGAGAUCAGAAAAGAACAUCAAGUGUUGAUGGUGAAUAAAACCACUAAGUUCAAGAAGGGCAAGGGUAAGAAGAACUUCAAGAAGGACGGCAAGGGAGUUGCCGCGCCCGGUAAGCCAGUUACCGGGAAGAAGUCAAAGAAUGGACCCAAGCCUGAGACUGAGUGCUUUUAUUGCAAGGGAAGUGGUCACUGGAAGCGGAACUGCCCCAAAUACUUAGCGGACAAGAAGGCCGGCAACACCAAAGGUAUAUGUGAUAUACAUGUAAUUGAUGUGUACCUUACCAGUACUCGUAGUAGCUCCUGGGUAUUUGAUACCGGUGCGGUUGCUCAUAUUUGUAACUCAAAACAGGAACUGCGGAAUAAGCGGAGACUGGCGAAGGACGAGGUGACGAUGCGCGUCGGGAAUGGUUCCAAGGUCGAUGUGAUCGCCGUCGGCACGCUACCUCUGCAUUUACCUACGGGAUUAGUUUUAAACCUCAAUAAUUGUUAUUUAGUGCCAGCUUUGAGCAUGAACAUUGUAUCUGGAUCUCGUUUAAUUCGAGAUGGCUACUCAUUUAAAUCCGAGAAUAAUGGUUGUUCUAUUUAUAUGAGAGAUAUGUUUUAUGGUCAUGCCCCGCUGGUCAAUGGUUUAUUCUUGAUGAAUCUCGAACGUGAUGUUACACAUAUUCAUAGCGUGAAUACCAAAAGAUGUAAAGUUGAUAACGAUAGUCCCACAUACUUGUGGCACUGCCGCCUUGGUCACAUUGGUGUCAAGCGCAUGAAGAAGCUCCAUGCAGAUGGACUUUUGGAGUCUCUUGAUUACGAAUCAUUUGACACGUGCGAACCAUGCCUCAUGGGUAAGAUGACCAAGACUCCGUUCUCCGGAACAAUGGAGCGAGCAACCAACUUAUUGGAAAUCAUACAUACCGAUGUGUGUGGUCCAAUGAGUGUUGAGGCUCGCGGAGGAUAUCGUUAUGUUCUCACUCUCACUAAUGAUUUAAGUAGAUAUGGGUAUGUCUACCUAAUGAAACACAAGUCUGAAACCUUUGAAAAGUUCAAGGAAUUUCAGAGUGAAGUUGAGAAUCAACGUGACAGGAAAAUAAAAUUCUUACGAUCAGAUCGUGGUGGAGAAUAUUUAAGUCACGAAUUGUAACAUCCCAAAUUUUCAAUUUGGUAUGUUAUACAUAGAUCAUCAUUGCAUAUCAUGUUUUAUUGCAUUUUGACAAAUCCUCGAUAAAUCCUAAGCAACUCAAGGACCCUCGGAGAGAGUUGGGGAUUUUCUCGAAUUUUUAAAUUUGAUUUUCAUCAAAUAUUAAGACGAGGAUUUUGGUUUUAAUUAUUUUCUCUCCGGAAAAAUAUUUCAUCUUAUACAUAAACGAGAGGAGAAAAUAUGACUUCUCCAAAACAAUUGAAAUACUGGAGGAAAAAUGUUAAAAUCAUUUAUUGGAAUUUAUUUGGAUUUUAUUUGCAAUUUUUAUUGCAUUAAAAAUAUUGCAUGUUUUUAAAAUAUUUAUUUUGUGUUAAAAAACUGUUCACCCUAUUCUAGAUUUUCUAACUAGACGGGGAAAAUUUAUUUUAUAUUUUUCUGACUUUUAUUUAUUUUUCUAUGAAUUAUUUUCCGCGGAACGUUUUAAAAAAAACACGCGCGUGCCCGCCGGGCCAAGCCCAGCCGCCAGGCCGCCGGCCCACCCCGCGCCCCUCUCCUCUCCCCGCACGGCCGCCGCCGCCGCCGUGNNNNNNNNNNNNNNNNNNNNNNNNNNNNNNNNNNNNNNNNNNNNNNNNNNNNNNNNNNNNNNNNNNNNNNNNNNNNNNNNNNNNNNNNNNNNNNNNNNNNNNNNNNNNNNNNNNNNNNNNNNNNNNNNNNNNNNNNNNNNNNNNNNNNNNNNNNNNNNNNNNNNNNNNNNNNNNNNNNNNNNNNNNNNNNNNNNNNNNNNNNNNNNNNNNNNNNNNNNNNNNNNNNNNNNNNNNNNNNNNNNNNNNNNNNNNNNNNNNNNNNNNNNNNNNNNNNNNNNNNNNNNNNNNNNNNNNNNNNNNNNNNNNNNNNNNNNNNNNNNNNNNNNNNNNNNNNNNNNNNNNNNNNNNNNNNNNNNNNNNNNNNNNNNNNNNNNNNNNNNNNNNNNNNNNNNNNNNNNNNNNNNNNNNNNNNNNNNNNNNNNNNNNNNNNNNNNNNNNNNNNNNNNNNNNNNNNNNNNNNNNNNNGGAGCCCCGCCGGAGCACUACCCCGACGAGGUACUGCCUCACUGCCCCGUUCGUCGUUGCCGGUUUUUGUUAAAAAAAACCCUUAGUUUUUUAAAAAGAAAAAAAACCUAGAUCGGUUUUUUUUCGGUUUUAUUAUUUUGCGAGCGUUCACCGAACCGUUCGUUUUAACGAACGCGUUCGUCGGUUUUUCUCUGUUAACGAACGUCCGUUCUUUAACCGUUCGUCCGUUUUUCUUUUUCGUCGGAUUUUUCUGCGAUUAUCUCAGAUUCGAUUCCUGAUCGAAUCUUCGUUUCUGUUUAACUUUUCGCUCGUUUAUCGGAAUCAGGCGAUUCAAGCGCCUAGAGUUUCGUCUCGAAAUUCUCUUUCCGUUUAACCUACUCAAACAAGUUUUUGCUACAGUAAAAUUUGACCUAGAUCCAGAUUAGUAAACAAAGUUUCUUUCUUUCGCAGUUUGACUUUCGUUAUUUCUUUCGAGUUGAUUCUUUUUGCAAACCGGAGUUCUUAAGUUGAACUUUCUGGUUGGAUCUUUCAUUCGAGUUUUACCUGUGCAUUAGAUGAGUACUGAUUGUAUGCUUGUUUGUUUGCGAUAGAGUACCCGGAGUGUGCCGCUUGUUACUUCGAAUCGCUAGGUUUUGCGGAUCAUCGGCAAGGCAAGUAACACUUUGAUCAUACCUUUCCAUACCCAGUUUUAUUGCAUUAGAUCUAUUCCUCAAACAUUGCAUGACUAGGAUCUAAUUAAAUUGUGGGUAUUGGGAAGUAGUUGAGGUAGCACCUAUUACCUGUAUUCUUAUCAAACCCUUGGGAGUUACUUCUACGUUGCUUUUAUUAUUGCCAUGCUAUGCUCGUAGACGUGGAUUGGGUUUGAGUGAAAUUCAUGACAGAUGUGAGAUUGUUAACAAUGGUUUACCUAAGGUGGCAACUAAAACUCACAUCUGGGUGGAUUGAGGUACCUGGGUAUUCCAGGAUUGCCUGUUUUUCUUUUGGACCGCCACCCAGGUUCCAAGGGAUCAUAAGAUUAUUCAUGCUAGAAACUUCCGUGUGCAGCCGCAAGCUAUUAUGGGCUCUAGCAUAGUUGAUUAAGUUGUGUGAACUCUUACAGUGGUAGACUAGCAGAUGUAGGGGAAAGUAGGUGUAACUGUCUACCCAUACGUAAAGUGCAAACACUUCUGAAAGACUGUGUCUUGGUCAUCCGUUACUCAAACACCAUGUAGUGCGAGUAAUCCAACGGAGGAGAUCAAGUCUUGUGGGGAAAAGUGCACAAACCUCUGCAGAGUGUACAAACUAAUCAUGGUUAGCCAUGUCCCCGGUUAUGGACAACUUGAGUAUCUAGUACUUGGAUUAUCAUGUGAAUCUCAUCACUAUGUUACUUCUAAUUAAUUUUGUUGGGUUAUUGAUGACAUUUAAUUGGGAUUGAGAUGCUGUCAACCAUCUCAAUGUUUCACAACCACCAUGAUAGUUAAAUAAAAUUUAUUCCUUUGAAGUAGGAUAAAAUUGGCUUUUCGCAAAAAUUGAAACCAUAGAGCUUUCCACCAGCCAUAUAUGCAUGUAGUAUAGCCUUAUUAUUGUUCAUUAUUCUCUAUGUGUUACAUUGCCAGCAUAUUCUAUGUGCUGACCCGUUUACGGGCUGCAACGUUUCAUGUUGCAGACUCUUCAGACGACGAGUAAGGUGCCUUAGGUCGUGGUCUUAUACUCAGUGAUGCCGCUGGAGUUGAUGGACUCACUUAUCUUCCAAGUCUUCCGCUGUUAUCGUUAUUAGAUGGCCUUAAGCCAUGUUUAUCAUACUUAAUAUCUUUGGAGAUAUUCGAUGUAAUAAGUGUGUGAUUGCUACUCUGUUAUAAAUCCUCCAUUUGUACUGUGCGUGUCAGCAUUACUGAUCCAGGGAUGACACUGGUGCACAGCAGCACAGACCAUUUGAGGUCUGGUCGCUACAAAGUUGGUAUCAGAGCACACGCUGACUGUAGGACACGACCACUAAGCUUAAGCCCUAGAAAGCUUCUCUCUUCUCAUUUCUGACCCCUAUCCACUUUCUACUCUUUUAGGAAUGGCGAAUGCAAGGAGCAAGUUCAUGCAACCAGAUGAAGACACGCCGUUUGGUCGACACUUGAAGGAAGUCACCAAGUACUUGAACAUAGGAAUACCAAGCAUCACCGGAACCUACAACGCCACAUUACCUGAAGAGGAGAGCUGGAAGAUUCAAGUUCACAUUCCAGGAAGGACGUUUGUGCCAGUUACUGAACCCAUAAGAUUGGUUUUCGAAGCACCAACCUGGAGUUUAGGGAAGAGCAUGGCCGCACACGUCGCCAUGAGACGCAUUGGAGAAGUCUACCACCAGGAGCUUAAGGAUACAAUUUACCAAAUUUGUGGACGCCGAGACGCGCAAUGGGAGAUGAUCAGAACCAAGAAGGAUGGAUCAAUUGCAGCUUUCAUCCAGGAGGAGAACCAACACAUUCGUCGCCAGGAGAACCAGAUGUGCACGGACAAGGAAGAACUGAAGAAGGCAUUGACGAAGAUCAAGGAGCUGGAGGAAGAACUCAAGGCUACACGCGAGGAUUAUUUGGAAGAAAUCAACGCACUAGUAGGGAAGAAUGACGACCUAGAGAAGAAGAUUGGAAUAUUCAUGGGAAAUCCAGUGCCAAAGGCAGAAGUCGACGAAUGCACUUGUCCGGAUAACUACAUCAUCAUCGACGACACUGACUCGGAACCAAGUGAAUAUGACUGGGUUGACGAAGCUGGAGCAGACAUCAUGGAGUCUUCAACGGAUCAGAAUUUCUAGUAGACCACCAUAUCAGUAGUAGUUUUCCCCCAUUUAAUAGUAUAGUUCAAGCACUUUGUAACGCUAGCUAGAUCGAUUGUUUUGCCUUGUUUGAAUUGAUUGAGUGAUAUUGAUUGAAUUUGUCUCAUGAGCAUAUGGGUAGUGUUUUCUCUCUAGACCUCAUUCUAUUCUUAACUCUCAUCUUUUCUAAACCUAUCAGAUGCCUCCGAGACGCGACACCGGAUUUGUUUUCCCGCCAGAGAUCACCCAGUUGAUUCAGCAACAGAAUGCCCUGAUGCAAGUGUUAGUGCAGAACCAAGGCAACAACAACAACAACAACCCACCGCCACCACCACCUGUUGAUCACUUAGCCCGUUUCUUAAGGCUAAACCCGUCGGUGUUUUCCAGUAGCACCGAGCCGAUUGUAGCAGAUGAUUGGCUCCGCAAAGUUGGAAGGGAGUUGACCACUGCAAGAUGCACAGAUGCGGAAAGAGUGCGUUUUGCCGCACAUCAGCUUGAUGGACCCGCAGCAUCAUGGUGGGAGAAUUAUACAGCCACGCACCCUAUUGACACUGUCACAUGGGACCAGUUUCAGCAAGCUUUCCGUACAGCACAUCUUUCAGCAGGAGCUAUGGCUAUGAAGAAGCGUGAGUUUCGCAGCCUACACCAAGGAGGACGCACCGUAGGCCAGUAUGUGGAGGAUUUCAGUAAGCUAGCACGUUAUGCACCAGAUGACGUUGCUACAGAUGCAGCCAAGCAGGAGAAAUUUUUGGAAGGGCUGAAUGAUGAACUGAGUAUGCAGUUGAUGGUAGCAACCUUCAACAACUACCAGGAGCUGGUAGAUAGAGCUCUCAUGAUUGAAGGGAAGCAACAGCAGAUUGAAAACCGUAAGAGGAAGUAUGGACAAGGGAAGUAUAACUCAGGAGCUCAGCAGAAGCCUCGAUUUACCCCGAAGCCGGGAGGACAGUUUCAGCAUACCCAUGGAGGAGGUAGUUCGCACAACCAUAAUGGCUCUAAAAAUGGUAAUGGGAAUGGAGGAAGCAACGGACAGAACCGCACCAACCCAUCUACCCCAGCCAAGAGGGACCUGAGCCAAGUCACUUGUUUCAAGUGCCAGAAGAAUGGACAUUAUGCCAAUGAAUGUCCUGAAGCCCAAAAUGGAAAUGGCAAUGGAAGCUCUGGGAAGAAGCCGAACCCGUUCAACAAAGGACACGUGAACCACGUGAGCGUGGAGGAGGUUGAAGCUCAGCCUGAUGCAGUAAUAGGUAAGUUCUUGGUUAAGUCAUUUACUGCAACCGUUCUUUUCGAUACUGGUGCAUCGCAUUCAUACAUAUCAAGGGGAUUUGUGAAUAAGUUUAAGAUGUCCACCAAAGUUCUCAGAAACCCUAUGUUAGUAACCUCGCCAGGAGCAGAGUAUAUGGCCACCCAAGGAUGUUUUCAGAUACCAUUGGCCAUUGGUAGGCAUGUUUUCCCCUCAGACCUCAUAGUUUUGGAGUCGCAAGGUUUGGAUGUGAUUUUGGGGAUGGAUUGGCUAUCGUUGUAUGGAGGAAACAUCGAUUGUGCCAGCAAGACGAUUUUGCUUACCACCCCGGAAGGGAAAAGGAUCAAGUAUGUAUCCCGACAUAUGCCGAAGAGGACUCAAGUAAAUUCCUUAUCAGGAGUUGUACAGGAGGAAGUACCAGUGGUGAAGGAUUAUCCGGAUGUAUUUCCAGAAGAGUUGCCAGGCAUGCCACCAGAUAGGGACAUUGAGUUUUUGAUUGAACUUUUGCCAGGCACAGGGCCAAUAUCUAAGAGACCGUACAGGAUGCCCGCAAAAGAUUUGGAGGAAAUUAAGAAGCAGAUCAAGGAGUUACUGGAUAAAGGCUAUAUUCGCCCAAGUUCGUCACCUUGGGGAUCACCAGUACUUCUAGUGGAGAAGAAAGAUGGAUCGCUGAGGAUGGUUGUUGAUUACCGUGGAUUGAAUGAAGUAACCAUCAAAAACAAGUACCCACUGCCGAUGAUCAAUGAUUUGUUUGACCGCCUACAAGGAGCUAAAGUAUUUUCCAAGAUCGAUCUACGAUCAGGAUAUCAUCAGUUAAAGAUUCGAGAGCAGGAUAUACCAAAGACGGCUUUUACCACCAGAUAUGGAUUGUAUGAGUAUACCGUUAUGUCAUUUGGUCUGACUAACGCACCUGCCUAUUUCGAGAGCCGGAAGGUUUUGUCGAUCCUAAGAAUGCUAACAAAGUAUGCAAGCUCCAGCGCUCAAUCUAUGGGCUGGUGCAAGCAUCUCGGAGUUGGAACAUUCGCUUUGAUGAGAUGAUCAAAGCGUUUGGGUUUACACAGACUUAUGGAGAAGCCUGUGUUUACAAGAAAGUGAGUGGGAGCUCUGUAGCAUUUCUCAUAUUAUAUGUGGAUGACAUAUUAUUGAUGGGAAAUGAUAUAGAAUUCUUGGAAAGAGUAAAGGCCUAAUUGAAUAAGUGUUUUUCAAUGAAGGACCUUGGAGAAGCUGCUUAUAUAUUAGGCAUCAAGAUCUAUAGAGUUAGAUCAAGACGCCUCAUUGGUCUUUCACAGAGUACAUACCUUGACAAAAUAUUGAAGAAGUUCAAUAUGGAUCAGUCCAAGAAGGGGUUCUUGCCUGUAUUGCAAGGUGUGCAGUUGAGCAUGGCUCAAUGUCCGACCACGGCAGAAGAUAGAGAAAAGAUGAGUGUCAUCCCCUAUGCCUCGGCCAUAGGGUCUAUUAUGUAUGCCAUGCUGUGUACCAGACCUGAUGUAAACCUUGCCGUAAGUUUGGUAGGAAGGUACCAAAGUAAUCCCGGCAUGGAACACUGGACAGCGGUCAAGAAUAUCCUGAAGUACCUGAAGAGGACUAAGGAUAUGUUUCUCGUUUAUGGAUGUGACGAAGAGCUCGUCGUAAAGGGUUACGUCGACGCUAGCUUCGACACAGAUCUGGAUGACUCGAAGUCACAAACCGGAUACGUGUAUAUUUUGAAUGGAGGAGCAGUAAGCUGGUGCAGUUGCAAGCAAAGCGUCGUGGCGGGAUCUACAUGUGAAGCGGAGUACAUGGCAGCCUCGGAGGCAGCACAGGAAGCAGUCUGGAUGAAGGAGUUCAUUACCGACCUAGGGGUGAUUCCCAAUGCGUCGGGCCCGAUGACUCUCUUCUGUGACAACACUGGAGCUAUUGCCCUUGCGAAGGAGCCCAGGUUUCACAGGAAGACCAGGCAUAUCAAGCGUCGCUUCAACUCCAUUCGUGAAAGUGUUCAAAAUGGAGACAUAGAUAUUUGUAAAGUACAUACGGACCUGAAUGUAGCAGAUCCGUUGACUAAACCUCUCCCUAGAGCAAAACAUGAUCAACACCAGGACGCAAUGGGUGUUCGAUUCAUCACAAUGUAACUAGAUUAUUGACUCUAGUGCAAGUGGGAGACUGUUGGAAAUAUGCCCUAGAGGCAAUAAUAAAUGGUUAUUAUUAUAUUUCUUUGUUCAUGAUAAUCGUCUAUUGAUCAUGCUAUAAUUGUAUUGUCCGGUAAUCAUAAUACAUGUGUGAAUGCAUAGACCACAACGUGUCCCUAGUAAGCCUCUAGUUGACUAGCUCGUUGAUCAAUAGAUAGUCAUGGUUCCUGACUAUGGACAUUGGAUGUCAUUGAUAACAGGAUCACAUCAUUAGGAGAAUGAUGUGAUGGACAAGACCCAAUCCUAAGCAUAGCAUAAAAGAUCGUGUAGUUUCGUUUGCUAGAGCUUUUCCAAUGUCAAGUAUCUUUUCCUUAGACCAUGAGAUCGUGCAACUCCCGGAUACCGUAGGAGUGCUUUGGGUGUGCCAAACGUCACAACGUAACUGGGUGACUAUAAAGGUGCACUACGGGUAUCUCCGAAAGUGUUUGUUGGGUUGGCAUGGAUCGAGACUGGGAUUUGUCACUCCGUGUGACGGAGAGGUAUCUCUGGGCCCACUCGGUAAUGCAUCAUCAUAAUGAGCUCAAUGUGACUAAGGGUUAGUCACGGGAUCAUGCAUUGCGGUACGAGUAAAGAGACUUGCCGGUAACGAGAUUGAACAAGGUAUUGGGAUACCGACGAUCGAAUCUCGGGCAAGUAACAUACCGAUUAACAAAGGGAAUUGCAUACGGGAUUGAUUGAAUCCUCGACACCGUGGUUCAUCCGAUGAGAUCAUCGUGGAACAUGUGGGAGCCAACAUGGGUAUCCAGAUCCCGCUGUUGGUUAUUGACCGGAGAGGCGUCUCGGUCAUGUCAGCUUGUCUCCCGAACCCGUAGGGUCUACACACUUAAGGUUCGGUGACGCUAGGGUUGUAGAGAUAUGUGUAUGCGGAAACCCGAAAGUUGUUCGGAGUCCCGGAUGAGAUCCCGGACGUCACGAGAGGUUCCGGAAUGGUCCGGAGGUGAAGAAUUAUAUAUAGGAAGUCAAGUUUCGGCCACCGGGAAAGUUUCGGGGGUUACCGGUAUUGUACCGGGACCACCGGAAGGGUCCCCGGGGUCCACCGGGUGGGGCCACCUAUCCCGGAGGGCCCCGUGGGCUGAAGUGGGAAGGGAACCAGCCCCUAGUGGGCUGGGCGCCCCCCAUGGGCCUCCCCCCAUGCGCCUAGGGUUGGGAACCCUAGGGUGGGGGGGCUUCCCACUUGCCUUGGGGGGCAAGGCACCCCCUUUCCCCCUUUGGCCGCCGCCCCCCCUUGAGAUCCCAUCUCCAGGGCCGGCGCCCCCCCAGGGGGCCUAUAUAAAGGGGGGGAGGGCAGCAACAAGACAGCCUUGGGCGCCUCCCUCCUCCCCUGCUACACCUCUCCGUCUCGCAGAAGCUCGGCGAAGCCCUGCCGAGACCCGCUACAUCCACCACCACGCCGUCGUGCUGCUGGAUCUCCAUCAACCUCUCCUUCCCCCUUGCUGGAUCAAGAGGAGACGUCGCUGCACCGUACGUGUGUUGAACACGGAGGUGCCGUCCGUUCGGCACUCGGUCAUCGGUGAUUUGGAUCACGGCGAGUACGACUCCGUCAUCCACGUUCAUUGGAACGCUUCCGCUCGCGAUCUACAAGGGUAUGUAGAUGCACUCCUUUCCCCUCGUUGCUAGCAUACUCCAUAGAUGCAUCUUGGUGAGCGUAGGAAAAUUUUAAAUUAUGCUACGAUUCCCAACAAUUUCAGCCCAACCGACGAUGGACUCGUCGGAGCCCGACAAUUUUUUACCAAGGUGCUCCAAUUCUGCUCAAAUCCCCUCCAAUUUUCGGCGACCAACCCCGAUUCCGACCGAUUUUGAUCAAUUCCUACGUAGGCUACCGAGCGGGGCAUGGGGCGAGCAGCCAAACGGGUCCGCAUGCGCGCGUGAACAGGGGAGAGGGGUGGGGCCGCGGGCGUGCGUGAACAGGGGAGAAGGGUGGAGCCGCCGACGCGCGUGAACAGAGGAGAGGGGUGGGGCCGCGGGCGCACGUGAACACGGGAGAGGGGUGGGUCGCCGGCGUGCGUGAACAGAGAAGAUGGGUGGGGCCGUGGGCGCGCAUGAACAAGGGAGAGGGGUGGGGCCGUGGGCGCGCAUGAACAAGGGAGAGGGGUGGGGCCGCGGUGCACGCUGGGGGUUAGCCGGCCGGGGCGCCCGCCCACGAGCCGCGCGCGAGAAGGAAAGCGGGUCGGGGUUGUGGGCAGGAGCUCGAAGGCGGCUGGCCGCGGUGCGGACAUCCACUAGAUCAAGAUCGGGUACAUGGUGACCUUCAAGUUGGUGACUCCCACGCCGUGAAGGUGAUCGUCUUCAACAACGACGGCAUUAAAGUGAUGACCAAGUUGCAGGAGGCACGACGACGCAUUCAUCGUGAACGUUUAUGAGAGCUCUAUAUUGCGCAUGCUGGUUUGGUUACGACUGUGUCAUAAUGGUUCGGUUGAAAACUACUUAAUUUAAGUGUCGUACUAUGUUUGAAAACUGUUUGAAUUGAUUUAAAACUAUGUUUAUAUGAUAUUUGUUUGUGUGUCAUUGGUUUGUUCCGCAUGCCUAGUGUAUUGAUAACCUCACCACCUUCACGAGGAAGUUACCAAACAACAUGCCCUGCAUGUAAUCAAACACCAUGACUUGUGUUUUCGCCUAAACAAGUGGGCAACCAAACAACCUACCUUUCGUUUCGUCCCACGCAGGCUAGAAGGUAUGCAGUCAACCAAACAAUAUACAGAUGUUAAUAUUUUUGCAUGUUUACUUUCAAUUGAGACAUAGAUGCAAUGCAAGCAAAAGUAGAUACGGCAAACAAACACACCCAUGGUGCCUAUCAUGUUUUCCAAAAAACGCACCUCCGAAGGUGGGAUUUUUUUUAACAGAAAUCCUCCGCUACAUUUUAUUUUAUUUUUCCCUGAAAAAAAAGAAGCGGAGGAUUUCUGCCACGAUACUAUCCGCACUGUGCGCGGAGCAUCUCUUCCCCGUAGGCACACACACGGCCGUCCCUGGACCCACCUGUCUUCCACGGACAUCGACUCACCCAUCUCCGAACCGCCCCCCCUCUGUCGCCACACCCCCGUCCCCACGCCCGCGGCGCAAAACCCCGCUAAAUUUUUCGCUCCGCCCGCCCCCAAGUCUCGCCACCGCCGCCAUCCUCCAAAUCGUCGGAGAAGAUAAUCCCCAGGACCCCCUUAGGGAUGUACGCCGACAUCCAGAAGGGUCGGCCGGGCUGCCGCCCCGUCGACGCCGCCUCCAUGGCGAAGCUCAUGAAGGUCUGGGCGAGGUACUUCCCCGAGGAAACCGAGCUCCAGGUCCCGGCGGACGACCCCAGGGCCAGGCUCGUCGGCGACCUGGUUAAGGUCCUGGAGCUGGAGGAGAGGGCCAAGCUCCUCCCACGUGUAAGCAUCUGUCUCCAUUCCCCGUAUAGCGCCUCAUUUUUGGCCCAUCUCUUAUGGUGACGCGAUUCUAGGGUUGCUUACUCGGUUCGGCCGCGACGAAAUUAUGGCGGUUGCUGCGCGACUGGUUGGUGCCUAGGGUUUAUCGGAUUGGCUGAUUGAUCGUUAGUUGAAAUUUUCUGGGAGUGGCAGCUGACAUUGUAACUGUAUAUAGUUAAAAUGCUUGCAGUCUCGUGCCUAAUGUCUGUUUGGUUCCAAUUAUUUAAGUUCCUGAGCUUGCCAUUGCUAGACAUUUAAUUGGGUACCAUUGUUAGUAAAAUGUGUGUUGGUUCCUUGCUGUUAGGGCAGAAUUUGGGUAAUAAUUUACUUAUCUGAUCGAAUCGACCUCGAAAUUUGGGGCAGAAUUUGUUUCUACAAUCUUCAAGAUCAAGGUCUCAAUGCGAUGGUGGCUCCUGGUAUAUGAAGUAGUGACAUAUCUAAUCAGAAAAGGGGAAUACUCUUCUUUAUUAGGAGGGAAAAGAAUCAAGAGGAGCUUGUAAUUUUGUGAAUAACUUUGAUACUUUUGUGCUCCACUUUGUCAGUAUCAUAAGAUUACUUAUACGUUUAUACCCCAAUGUGCUGCUGCGAUAACUACCUAAAGCACGACGCAAUGUUCCAAUUGAAAAAUGAAAUCAUGGCAUCAUGUAGUUGCACAAUAAAUUACUAAUCGGGUGGAAAUGAUUUAAACACAUCGCUUCAUAGUGUGCUUUUGUCAUUACAUGGAAAAAUAUUUCCGGUUCCAGCAAAUGAACGAAUUCAUGUUAUUAUAACUUAUGACUACAUUCACAGGUUGAAGAUGAUGGUGUUGUCUUCUUCCUUCCGAUUGAUUUCCAGCAGCUUAAGAACUUGUGCGGUGGUACCAACCUCUUAGAUGCUCUCAGGGAAAAUCCUAAAGAAGCCUUGCUUUGCAUGGGAGUUGCAGUUCAUCUGGUUGAUGCUUCAUUUCAUGCUAAAAUUAUUAGUGUUGUCAGUUGUGCUUUGUUUUUUCACUCGCUGGACUUUGAUUCUUGAUGUUUUCUUCAGGUUAAGUGCUCGGGCAAUGGCCUCCAGUUGAGCGACGUAGACAAGGUCAAUAUCAGGCUUUACAACCACACCGAGACAAUAAUUGCUUUGAAGAAUUUGAAAGCGGCCUAUAUUAGUAAGAACUUCUGUCUUUAUCCGUGUGUUCUGCAUCUAAAUGAAGUACUGACUUGUUGAUUCACCUCAUAGAGAAACUAGUGACAGUGCGUGGUACUGUUGUAAAAGUCAGUACUGUGAAACCUCUAGUUCUGGCGCUGGAGUUCAAAUGCAUGAAGUGUGCUACAGUCAUCCGUCGUGUGUUCUCUGACGGGAAAUUUUCACCUCCAGUAUCCUGCAUAAUUCAGGGCUGCAAGGGCAGAACCUUCACCCCAUUGAGAUCUACUGCCAAGUUGAUAGAUUUUCAGAAAAUAAGGCAAGUGAUAAAUAGAUAAUCUGUGUCAUUCUCUGCUUAUAACACUAAGCUCUGUUUUUAUUAUUUUCAAUCCAGGAUACAGGAGCUUUCUAGUGCUGAAAACCGUGAAGAAGGCCGAGUGCCACGAACUAUAGAAUGUGAGCUUAUAGAAGAUCUUGUAGAUUGUUGCAUCCCUGGAGAGGUUGUAACGGUAGCUGGAAUCGUCAAAGUGCUGAACAACCAUAUGGAUGUUGGAGGAGGUACAAUUUUGAAGAAACUAGUAUCUUAUUUCUCGUUGUUCAUUUCUGAACCUUCCUGGAUACUAUAUUUUACAUUGUUUCAAAGCCUGAAUCCUCUUUGCAAAAAAAAUAAAAAUGCUAAUGUUCAGGUGUCCCAAAUUUCCUGCAACACCUGUAGAGCACAUAUGUUUUCAGUCUUUUGUUAAGGUUGUUCAGUAGUUUGGGUUGGUUGUCUAGUUCUGGUGCAUUAUGGACUACUAGGUGUAACCGUAUCAGGUAGUUCACAAGAACAAUUAUCAAGUUCCAUGUUACUCUUAGGGAAAACCUAUCUCCUGCUACGUUUGUUAUCCCUAAAACCUCUCCUCAUUUUAUCUUUACCUUAACCAAAACAUUCACUCUUUUUUAGACAUUGUUGCUUUCUAUGAUUUCCUUUAAUAUAAGACUCAAGAAUUGUUUGUAGAACAAUGAUGAUAGCCAAAAGGUUACUAUGUGUGGCGUCCAUGUCCUUGCCACAUGCAAUAGUCGUGAUGAUUUCUCUGUCAUGCACGGUAUCCCAUACAAAAGGCCAUGCACGCCACACAAAGCAGGAAAGUGUCGGAUCAACAGACCAUGUCAGCAAUGAGACGUGUCCAGGAGGGAUAUGUCGGGACAGACUCGGUGCUCCUGGAGGCAGCAUCCACUGCCACUGUCUUGCCGCAGCCAAAAGUUGUGGGUGAGGGGAGGACAAGUUCAAUCCCCAUGCCUCCUCAGUGCCAUCAAGGGUUAGACUGUUAGAGCAGAUUAUAGGUGGUAGGUGCAACAUAUCGGCUGGAUGGGAGAUACAAAGAGUGAGAGAUAGAGGUGAAUUGCGUCUUCAUUGAUUUAAUAUAUUACUCCCUCCGUUCCAAAUUACUCGUCGCAGAAAUGGAUGUAUCUAGAACUAAAAUACAUCUAGAUACAUCCAUACAUGCGACAAGUAAUUCGGAACGGAGGGAGUACAUUACAGUUCCUUUAUGUAGUCUCUACUGGCGUAUCUGUGUAUGACCUUAUACCUAAUAAUCCUAAGUUCCUAACUGACCACAACUCAUAUUUGAAUCUAGUUGCACUGUCCUGGACUGGUCUCGAGAUCAAUGAUACCAAUGGCAUUGAUCCGGGUGGACUAAUUGAAUGCACUGGAGCCCGAGUCAUAGACAGCCAGUAAUAGGUUUGGGUAGUUGCGGGAGCUGCAGCGUUGGCACAACUGGCCUGUAUUCUAGGCCCAGCUGAAUUGGGUUCAGCUGCUGCCCGUCUGGUGGUUAUACACCCCACAACUGAUCCCAUGAUCAUAUCCUGAUCUCUUGUGUAGUUCUUUCUGGUUCUACCAUGCAAACACAAUCAGUGAAGUUCAUAUUAGUCUGAUGCCGGUGCAUUCUUUUUCCAAAACAUUCUUGUUUGUACUAUGUAGAUGCAUAUUUUCUUAAAUUGUCCUGUGGAUAUAUACAUAUAUUUUUAAUAUCUUCAGGUAAGUCCAAAAGCAGAAAUCAGGGUUUAUACUACUUGUACUUGGAAGCAAUCUCAGUAAGGAACUCCAAGGCCCAUGUUGUUUCAGAAAAUUCAGAUGCAAGUUCUACUGAUAUUCUGGCUACUGGAUCCUUCAGUUUCGAAACUUUUACUGAUAAGGAUCUUAAAUUCAUCACCGAAUAUAAUAGCGAGCAUGGUGCUGAUGUAUUUCGUCAAAUACUUCACUCCUUUUGCCCCUCCAUCUAUGGGCAUGAACUUGUAAAGGGUAAUUUUCUAUUCUAGUACACUGUUUUAAAUCCUAAUGUGGUAUUUUCUUGCAGUAAUUUAAUUAGAAGGUAUUUGCGCUGGCUAUUUAAUGUGAUUAAAUAUUUACAUUUUGUCUGCUCAGUGUUGUCCAAACAUUUGGAAAUAAAUCAAUCUGUUGUGCUCUCUUUAGUUUCUGUAUAUAAGAAAUGAUAACUAUUAUUUUAGCUUCAUUACUUGUGGACAUGUGCAGCGUUUUCAGUAACGAUUAUUUGAUUAUUCAUUAUUUCACGGUAAGUACUCUUGUGCCGUCUCCAAAAAAACCAAUUCAGCUGUGAGGAAUUGAUCAAGCUAUUAGUGCAGAGUUCAGUAAGGGGAUAUGUUCUCUUUCUUUUCAAGAGCCAGCGUUCUAAAGAAUGAAGGAAAGAAAAGAGUGCAAACUGUAUUUUUGAACGUAAAAAUAUUAAAUUAUCAAAAGUUCGACGAGUAGAAUAAAGACAUGCCUUAUUUUCUAAGAGAGCAAACAUCAAGAAUGAAUGUUUGUCCAUCUCCAGUUCUUCUUAUGAUCAAUACCUGCAUCUUCAUUAGUACAUGACGACCUAGCUACCGCUUGCUGACUUAAAUCUUGGUGGGAAGGCGGUGCCUAAUGCUUAGGCAGCCGUCUAGUCCAAUUUUAGAACACUGUCGAUAGUGCAGAGUUCUCAUUUCAGCGCAGUAGCAUUUGCUUGGAUGCCGCUUCUUCUGAUUCGUUUUGUUUCUUUGUUGCAUUAUAUUACUGGACAUGACUAAAUUAAUGUUUCUAAAUUUCAGCUGGUAUCACUCUUGCGCUUUUUGGUGCUGUGCAGAAGCAUUCAAUGGAUCAGAACAAAGUCCCAAUUAGAGGAGACAUCCAUGUUAUUAUUGUUGGUAAUCCUUAUAAUUUACCAAUCAUGAUCCAUGUAGUACAUGCUUAGCACUUCCCAGGAUGCAAUCAUACUCUUGCUUAAUGUUGUCGCAGGCGAUCCAGGACUAGGCAAGAGCCAAUUACUAAAAGCUGCAGCAUCUGUUUCCCCACGGGGAAUAUAUGUAUGCGGGAAUACAACCACAAAUGCUGGUCUAACAGUUGCUGUGGUUAAAGAUUCAAUGACAAAUGAUUAUGCAUUUGAGGCUGGUAAGCAUGGAAGAUUUAUUUGUUCCUCACACAUUCUGUGGAGAACCUUGUCAGAAAGUCAGCUAAUUCGAUCAUUUGUUGUCAUAUAAUUGGUUGUUCUACUGUUUUGUGGCCGAUGUGGUUUGAAGUCUUAGAAUUUGUGAUUGGAUCAAAAUAAUGUUAAGCUCUUGGCUUUACAGGGGCCAUGGUUCUUGCUGACCGUGGGCUAUGUUGCAUUGAUGAGUUUGACAAAAUGUCAGCAGAGUAUCAGGUAUUAUUUUUAGUUUUCACCUGAUACAACCUUCUUGGUGAAAUGUUCAUUCAGUAAAAGAUGUUCUAUACUUUCCUUGUUUGAAAUUGAAUUUGUGUUCUCAGUCCUUACUGGAAGCCAUGGAGCAGCAGUGUGUAUCUGUGGCAAAGGCUGGCCUUGUGGCGAGUUUAUCUGCCCGCACUUCUGUGCUGGCAGCUGCUAAUCCUGUUGGUGGUCAUUACGAGUGGGUUAAUCUUUUCCAUCCUUUGAUAAAAUUUUCUACCCCUGCUUAUCGUAUGAUGUUUGUCAUUCUGGAUAUGUUGUCUUCAUUCAUCUUUCCUUCUUCAAUUGAUACUCAUUACCUGUACUGUUAUCUCUGUGCGUAUGCGCGCGAUGUGCAAUUACUACAGUGUGAUUGUUUUUGUCAACGUAAUGUUCUUUUUGCACUCACACAACCACACAAGUCACCGUGCCUGGAACAGGCAGACCUGUAAGCAAAUACCAUUUCCUUGUGUAUUCUGGUGUUGUUCCUUAUUUUUGCUUGUCAGUGAGAUGUAGGUAACAGAUCUUAAAUUCCUGGGUUGUUUUCAACUUUUAGUAAUACUAUUUUUGCAGCCGAGGCAAAACAGUGAAUGAGAAUUUAAAGAUGAAUGCUGCCCUGCUCUCUCGGUUUGACCUGGUUUUCAUUUUACUUGACCAGCCAGACUUGUUUCUAGAUAAGAGAGUAUCAGACCACAUAAUGGCAGUAAGUUUUUGUUAUCCAUUUUUUGUCCACAUCUUAAGCAUAUAGUACCGAUGAGCAAUAUCACCACAUAUAAUAAAUGUGUCAGGGCUUUAAUCUAAUUAAAAAAACUAAGGAAAAAACAACAUUUUCUACACGCAGCUCCAUACCAAUGACAGAAGUCCUUGCUCAUCCAACAAGAGGCUAAGAACAGGUCAUUCUUUGGUUAUUCCAUAGCAUUUUUAGUUCCUUUUUACAUGUGAAACCGUAUACAUCGUUAUUGAUUUGCAACUUUGCCCCAUGCCCAGUGCCUCAAUUUAAUGGCAGUAUGGGGAUUGGAAUUGAUGAGAAAAAAUUAGCUUCAAGGCUGAGACUACACCCUGAGAAAGAUAGGGACUUUGUUCCGUUACCUGAACCACUUCUUCGCAAGUAUAUAUCUUACGCGAGAAGCUAUGUUACCCCCCGGUAUUUUGUCAGCUCCUUUUCACUUAUCAAUACCAUAUAUGUAAUGCAAUGAGUUCUCAUUUUGUUAUUUUUCUUCUCUCGGCUCAAGUGUGUCAGAACCAGCAGCGGUGGUACUGCGAAAAUAUUACUUGAAUUUGAGAGCGCAUAGUACUUGUUCUGAUGGCACACCCAUCACAGCGAGACAAUUGGAAAGCCUUGUGAGGUUAGCAGAAGCUCGCGCUCGGGUGGAUCUAAGAGAAGAAGUGACUGAACAAGAUGCGAAUGUAAAUAAGUAGAAUACUUACCCCCCGGUUCCCUCCUCCCCAUUUUGUACAUAUGCGCACCUUGCACCCUUGCACUGCCAGCUUGGAUUUCUUCAUACUUCAUACCUAAAUUACCAGCAGAGAAUUUUUCUGUUGGUUUAGGUUCUUGUCCAUGAUUGCUGGGAAAAUCUGAGUUCUUUCUCAUGCUAGUUUUCAUCCUCAGCAAAUUACUGAAUCAAACUCAGAAGCAUGAUGAAUUAUGUUUUUUAAUCUCCAUAUCAUGUCGAUGUUGCAGAUUUAUUUUUUCUGUCUGUUUGCUGCUUUAUAAAUCUGAAAAUGUGAACGUACGGUGCUUAUCGCAUGCCUAAGGCUUAUGCAAAGUGUUGUCUGGCAAAUAGACAGCCGGAUAGUUAGAUGACAUCAAGAGGCACACCUAUUUAAUAAAAAAUGGGCAUGCAAUCUCAUUCUGCGUUUUAUUAUGUUGCAGGAUGUUGUUGAGAUCAUGAAUGAAUCCUUAUAUGACAAAUAUGUUGAUGAGCAUGGUUGUGUGGACUAUGCUCGGAGUGGUGGGAUGAGCCAACAAAAGGAGGCAAAAAGACUUAUGAGUGCCUUAAACAAGCAAUCUGAGUUGCAGCAAAAGGAUCAGUUUUCAAGAGCCGUAAGCAAUUAUGCAUCUAAAAUAUUUUUGAUGAAAGGCUGGUCUGUUAUUGCAUAUACGCAAACCAACUGACAUGGAAAGAGUGCCAAUUUUAGUUCAGUUACAAUUCUGGUCCUGCUAUGAUCGACGAAAUUUUGACAUACUUGCUUUUUGUGCAUUUUGAUUCUUUUGUUACGCGGUUUCUCCAGUCAAUAGGAGCAUCUUCUUGAGGUUCCUCUGAUGUUCUGUAAUUUUCCCUUUGUAGGAGAUACGGAGCUUAGCAGAUAAAAUCAGCUUGCAAGUCCCGGAUUUAGAUGAUAUUAUGGAAAGAUUGAACAGUGCCGGUUUUAUUGUACAUAAAGGACAAAACAUAUACCAGGUAUUGUCUCAUAAAACUGCUUGACAUCAAGAAGUUUUGAUGUAUACAUUAGAUGGUUAUCCUGGUGUCGUGCUGAUUAUUGAUUAUGAGUUUAUGACUGUCAGGCUCGUGAUGAGCCCUCCACUGAGAAUCUAACUUAUUAUUGUCUGUGAAACAGAUAUUGACCUCAUCAUGUUCACGGACCCAGCCAACAAGGUCAAGAUGGUGAGUUCUCUUACACCCUACAUGAAAACAUGGGAGUUUGGUGUUGGUAUUAUGCUAAAUUUUAUAUCUGUGCCACACGUUAACGUCUGGUUGAUUAACAGUUACUUUGGGUCAGUGUCCAACACUUGCCAUUGUUGUGACAAGAUAACUGUUCAAAGGUUUCCUCUUUGCUGCCGAUUCAUGAUCGUUUUUUUUCUGGCAGAUGUAGGGGGGAUAUGUUCUGCAACUAGUAUGGACCGUUAUGUACAGUAUAGUCAUGUGAUGGCCUCUAAUUAAAAUGUGCGGAUAGCUCUGUUAAUGCUGUUUAUCGUAGCAGCUGUAGCUGAUAAUGACAAAAUUAGUAUCCUUACUAGUUCCAGCAUGUUAAAGAAACAUCCUGUUUUCGUUAAAGAAUCGUCUAUGUCCUGGACAUUGGUGAUCAUGAAUGCUGAUUCUUUAUGUGAAAGAAACAUAGUGUGUUUUUUUGCGGGGAAGAAACUUAAUGCUUCUAUGAGACUUGGAAUGGAAAUAACCCCUUAGGCCUGAGAAAUAGCAAACCCGCUUUGCUUACGGUUAUGUUUUUAUUUGGACGAACGCAGCAAUGCUGCUUCAUUUUAUAUUAAGAGAAAGAGUUACAACAAGUAAUUGGGCGGUGAUGAAGGUGACCACCAAGGUAGACAAAUGGAGGGCACAGAUAACAAGUUUCAUAGAAUCAUAGUACCAUCAAGGAGGCCUCCAUGUUAGCCUCCUUGGUGGUGUCACCACUCUUCUACAUUUUGCUCUACGGGAAUGUGGAACGCUGGUGUUUUAUCCUACGUCUGUGCUCUACGCUUACCAGUCGAAUUGUUUUGUGUGCUAUCCAUUUUUACAGAGAAAGCAGCCUUUAGAUUGCUCAAUCAAUAGGUCUUUUUCAAGCAUAGGCAAAAGGUAAUUUUAGGGGUCAUGGAGCCAUAUAUAUCUAUAAAUGAUAAUGAUGUUGUGCCCGCCCUGUUAGAUUCUCUCGGGUAGUGAACAAAGGUUGCUUUUCACAAACUCAGUCGCCUAGACUCAACGAUCAGUCUUGCUAUCAUAGUUGAAGCCUACCCGGUUACACCCCAUUUGCAGCGCCAUGGCUGACCUCAACAUCCUUUUUUUUUCUUGAGGUGAUUGCCUCACAUCUUGGGCAUGAACCAUGAGAGGUUCACCUGGGGUCGAUCGAUCUCGCUCACGCCGUUUGCUACCAGGUUUCUUCGCAACAGCUGUUUUGAAGUUGGCAGCCAGGACCAUGAGCAACGUAAACACGCAAUUGGAUCGAUGGGAGCUUGGAACUUCUCCCCAUUAAUGUGCCGCCAGCGUCUUCCACCGUUUUAUGAAAUGUACUACCCGCUGCUCCUAAAUACAGUACAAGUCUUUUUAAUGAUUUUAAUAUGAACUACAUAUGGAGCAAAAUAAGUGAAUCUACACUCUAAAAUAUGUCUAUAUACAUCUGUAUGUAAUCCUUAUUGAAAUUGAAAUCUCUAAAAAGACAUAUUUUUUUAAGGACGGAGGGAGUACUACGGAGUGUGUAAGUAGUUCCAGUGAUACUUUUCCUGCCCUAUCUGCCGCCAAUGCUUCACUUGUUCCGUGUUGGAAUGGGGCAUAUCUUUCGUUGCCCAUUAGUAUAGACGCCAAUGAGCAAUCAAACUAGUUUCCUCAUCGUAUCCUCUUGGGUUGUGCAGAGUUUGCAGUGAAAAACAUAAUCAGCUGUUAUUUGCAUAACUCUUCCAGUGUGAAUUACUACUACAAUCAGCAAAACUGCAUCCAUGUCAUUAUGGAUUUUGCACACAAAAAAACAUGAUACAGAAGCAUUGCAGAGGGCAGAUAAAACUUGCUAUCCAAAUCAUGGAAACAAAACUCAAUAGCGACAGACAGUCAACAGCAUCUCGCUAGUACAACUUCAGGUUACGUAUAUAGGAAUGAAAAUGCUAAAUGGUGGACGAGCUCCAUGGAGCUCGUUUUUUUGAAAAAAAAAACCCCGGAAAUUAUAGCUCCCAAGUUUCAAAAAAUCCUAAAAAGAUCACACGCGUUCAUACAGAUGUAAAUUUUAAAGAUGAUACUAUAAAUUAAUGGCGAGAGCUUCACUAGUUAGAGAAAAUCGUGAUUCUGAAAAUGGUGAACAUGUUUUGUGUAGCUCUUCAUCGUUAGAACGUGUAGAUUUUUCUCAGAAUAUUUUUAUUCAAAAUGUGUUUUUUGCUUCUUUUUGCUCAGGACAUUAAUAAUAUCCAAUCUAACCCAAAUAUCCAAUCCAAUUCACAGGUCGAUUGGUAUGGAUUUUUUUUCAGUACUACAGUACUGCAAAACUAUCUCAUCAUGCAAAAAAGAUUUUUUAAACAAACAUCAACAACAUAACACAGACAAUCAUAGCACAUGAGAUAAAACCCACUAGCCAGCAGAGUAACACAGCAACAAUAUAUAUCCAGAUCAUGGAAACAAUACUCUUAAUAGCAACUGUUAAGAGAAAGCAACAGCAGAGAAGGAACAAAUCUCGCUAGUACAACUUCAGGUUAUAUAGGACAUUGUAAACAUAGCAGGCAACUUUCCUCCUCAAACGACCAGAGCCUUACAGUCCAUUCCAUCCUUGCCUAACAAAAAUGCAACCUAAGACCUGGGCUUCUCCUUCUUCUCCUUGAAGAGAGCGAGAAGCGACACACCAGAUACCUUGACAACCUUGAACCUGACACCGGGAAUAUCUCCCACGGCAUGACCCUUACGACCGAAUCCAGCAAUCAGCACCUCGUCCUGAAGCAUCCAUCAAGUCAAGAGGUUAGGUUGGUUGCAUAUAGCAGACAUAUCACAUAUAUGCGAGCAAUGGAGGUUAGGUUGGCUGCAUAUAGCAGACAUAUCGCAUAUAUCUGAGAAAUGGGUGAGGGGCAC